AAUUCUUCUAAUUUCUUGUUUUGGUGUCUUGUUUGUUUAGUUUUCAUAUUAGUUUAGGAAUUAGUUUCCUUCAUUUCUUUCUUGAGCCCGUUCCGUUUGUUUGUUUAUAAAUAUUUCGCUGCCAUGCUAUUUCUUCGAGUGUGUGAUUUGUUUUGAUUAUUUAUCCUAUGGGCUAUUUUCCUACAAAGUAUUAGAGGUCUGGACUUUGAUUCUAGGGCUUGUUCAUGAAAUUGAAGCAUGGAUCAAUGUUAUUCAUCACGUUGUGAUGUUUUUAUUUUUGAUGAUAAAAAUGAUUUUGAGAUUUGGAGUUGGAUGAUGAAAAAAAAAAUUUCAAACUAUUGGAAUUUGGGAUUUUGUCUAAAAGGGGUUCACGAAACCUAUAGAAGGUACGAAUUAUCAAGCAGUUUAAGUGUUAGAGAAGAAUAAAUAGUUAGAUUGCAAGGCAUUCCAAUAUCUCAACACCCAAGUCCAAUUGCAUGUAGCCAAAAAAUUUAUAGAUGUAAAUACAGCAACGGAGGUUUGGAAAAUUUUGAUGAAUUUCUAUGGUCAUGGUGGAGAAGAAUUUUGUGAUGAGGUAGGAGAUUCUUUUUUUUAUGAGUCAAAGAAAGAAGAAAUUGCAGAAAUUAUGGGUACACAUGAAGAUGAAAAAUUUGUGGCCGACAAAGAAAUUUCACAUGUGAUGGAGAAAGAAAGUGAAGUCGUUGGUGAUAUGGAAAAUGUAACAAAAGAUUGUGAUAAGAGAGAAAUUUUUGAUUUCAUUGUGGUUGAUGAAUUUUUUGAAGUGAAAGAUGCGAUUGUUAAAAUUGACGCGAUUGUUAGCGUGAAAAAAUUAAAGGAAAAAUAUGGUGAUGUUAAAAACAUUGGAGGUGGCAACUAUGAUUUUCUAGUGUUGGGAAAUUUUCUUGGUGAUGUGGAGUAAUGAAUGGAGUUUGGAUGAACAUGUUUAACUUUUUUGACAUAAGUGAUCAAGGUAAGAAAUUGUUCAAAAAGUAUAAGUUUCAACCACUGUUACGUGUAAAGAUGAAACUAAAAAUCAAUCAUAAGUUGGAGUUAAAUGUUGUCUACUGCAACUGAGUUUUUCAUAGAGAUUCAAGUUCGAAAUGACAUUGGAGGUGAGCACAAUAACGAGCAUGGUUUAAGGAAGGCAAUAAAGGAAAUUAAACCCAACUAUCUUAGUAUUUAGUUUUAUAAUUCUUCUAGUUUCUUAUUUCGGUGUCUUGUUUGUUUAGUUCCCAUAUUGGUUUAGGAGAUUUCAAAUCAGUUCCAAAUAAGUUUCGGUUUAUAAUUGUAUUUGUUUAAUAAGUUUAACAAUGCAUAAAUACUACUAGAGUAGUAGAUUAUUACUUGAAAAAUUGAAUCGAGUUUUGAGAGUAAAUUUGAGGGAAAGUCACAGAGUUUAGAUUUGUAAGUUGUCGUAAACGAAAAGUUACUAUUUGUAUUGCUAUGAUUGAGUUUUGAGUUAAUAAAUAGUUAAAUGUUUGUUUGUAUAUUUAUUCUCCUUCUCUUCCCAAAUACUUUUAUAUGUGUUAAAAUUGCUUUUGUUUCUUAUUUGUGCUCUAUUAUCAAAAAAAAAAAAAAAGUCUUCCCUACUCUUCUAAAUGGGGCCAAUGGGUGAUAGAAAAGGCCCAUGGCCUAGGUUGGCCAUCUCUUGGGGUACCAAUGGGUUUGGUUUGGAUUCGAACUCGGCUCAGGCCCGAUAAUUUUUUCCGAAUAUGGGUUGAGAAAUAAUUCCAAUACCCGGAUCCGUUUACUCUAACAAAAAAUAGGUUGGAUACAGAAUAUAGGAUUCCAACCCAGAUCCAAACAAUAUACUAAUAAUUAUAAAAUAUAAAUAUUUCUAAAUACAUUCUUUUACCAAAUUAACAAUUUAGUAAUGAUUUUGUAAAUUGAUUUGUGGUUAGUUUUGUAUUGACUAUUGAAUUAUUUGUGAUUUAGUUUUAUAAUUUGAUUUGUUUAAUUUUGGAGAUGGAUUUAUGAUUGGUUUUGGAUUUAAUUUUAAAAUGUUUAAAUUUGGAUUUUUUUUUGCCGAAUAGACCUAGAUUCGACCCACAGCCCGUCGAACCCAAUUCCAAAACUCUAAGAUCAAGACCCAUUGGGUAUACGGGUCGGGUCUGGAUUUAUUACAUAAAAAUGGGUUAGAUUCAGAAUUUUCAGUUUCGAUCAUAAUCCCGACCCGUUGACAAGCCUAGCCGCCUCCGUUGCACUUGGGAGGGUUACCUGCCUAAGGUCUGUCUACAUGGCAGGGUCUAUGUAAUAAUUUGUGAUAGCGAGGGUUUCCAUUCGCAAAUGAAAAAAAUAGAAGAGGCUAAAAAAAAAACUCUUGCCAAGUCAGCAUACUACAUGUCUUUUGACUUAAGCCAUUAUUAAAAUCGCGAAAAUGAUGUCCAAUGAUUCAUUCAACUUUUUUUUUGUUUUUGAGGGUAAUGACAUUCAACUUGAAUAUCCGAUCUAUGUGGCAAUACGAAAAGACAAUUUCAGUUCCCAAUCUUAGUUUAAUAUAGCCCAAAAUGCAACGAAGCCUUUUUAUAAUAUAUUCCUAAUACACUUGUCCAACCUCAUCCAGUCCAUGGACCAAAUGAGCUAGACCUCUGAAGUAUCACUUCUAAGAGCAUUAUCUCUUCGUGUGUUUUUCAUCUGUGUUUUUAAACUUGGAUCGGACCUGUUGGUUCGAUCGAUCGAACUGAAAAUCGGCCAAGUGUCUAGUCUCAAUUAUCCUAAAAAAUCGGAUAGAUAGAAAUUCGGUCAAAUUAGGUCAAAAAUCGGAUUUGAUUGAGUUUGACCAAAAAAACUGGAAGAAUCUAUUAGUGUCAAAGUUUUUUUUUUUUUUGAAAAAGUCAAAGCAUUUUCAGUAUUAUGUUUUGAACCCUAGGUUGUUAAAAAUUAUUAAUAUACCUCAAAUAUUUCAUACUUUAUAAAUAUUGUCCUAAAGUUUGGUGUUAUUUUUCAAUCAAGUCCAUAAUUUUAAUUCUAAACUUGUUAAUGUUCAUUCAAUAAUAUAAAUUGCUACUUGAUCAUUCUAAUUUGUUUGUAUUUUCUUGUUAAAUAUAUUUUAAACAUCAAAUAUAUAUGAAUAUACAUUUAUUAAUAUUAACAUGUGCUUAAGUAUUUUACAUACAAUAUUUAAAUUUUUAAAUAAUUUUUAUUUAUGACGUUAUCUGAUUUAACCCUGAUAGAAUCCAUUAACCCCUGACUUCUGAAUUUAACCGAGUUGAUACUGUGAGGACUCGAAAUUUCUAUUAUUUUAAAAUCCUUAAUUUUGGCUCAAUUAAUAUUUAUUUGGAUUUUUGCCACGAAUAAUAUUUUCUAGCCUAUUAGAUCUAAGUACAUGAUUUUAUAGUUCGUUAUAUUUCUAAAGUGUCUCAUUUCAAAAAAAAAUAAAAUAAAAAUAUAGAUGAAUAAACAAAUAUUUUCAUAAAAACUUAAUUAGUGAAAAAGUGAAAAACGUAUUUCAACUUUAGCCAAUUGGGAGUGCAAUAAGCUAAAAAUUUAAGACAUAUACAAUGGUCCUAAAAUAGACAAUUUUAGGUUUAAACACACAAGUAAUAACUAGUGGUACAAUCGUUAUAAGAAUUUUUCAAAGGUUUCAAUUUUAUUGCGCCUAAAUUAGAAAUACGUGUUUUCACGUGCGCGUUUAAUUGGGAGACUUUGGACCAUUAUUUUGAGACAACUAGGAAUGAAUAAUAUUUAUACAAAUGUAAGUGCCCUAGAGGUUUAGUGUUCUAGUGCAACAAACGUAAGAGAAAUCGAACACAAAACGCGAGUGUAGGGUACUAGUUAUAAUUGAUUUGACGUAUUAAAAGAUUUGACGUCAAGCGUCUCUUAUACGCAAAGGCUUCGGAACCGCAAUUCAUUUCCUUUCCUCUGCUGCAAUGGACGGCUAGACUGCAGCAAAGGAACAACCGAAGCUUCACCAUUUCUUCUCUUCCAAAACUCAACCAAAUUCCUACCAAAACUUGCAUAGAUUCUCACCAAACUUCACAUUCAUUUAGCUUUUCACUUGGACAACAACAUAGGCUGAAAAAGGGAGGAGCUUUCACGGUUUCUUCAAGCUUCAAAGGACCGAAAAAUCUGUCCAAACCAGCCAUCAAAGUAGGUAGCAAUCUAACACCUUCAACUUGUCUUAUGGAAGUUGAUUUACGCAUUUGAGUUGGAAUCUUUACUUUAAUAGCUUGUAUUGUUGGAAGUGUGGGCUCUAUGAACUCCCACUUUGGGUUGAUGGCUGUGAUGAUGUUUUAUGAUGGUUUAUUUGCUGAAUUAGAGCUUAAGGAAGUAGAUUAAAGGUGCUUUGUUACCAGAAACGUUAUUGAACUCUUGAAAUAAAAAGUUCCCAUUUUACCCCUGCUCUGUUCGGUCACUUAAAUGCAGAAAUUUGAGGAUUUAAUGGCUUGAUUAUGUUGUAUAUAUGUUUUAGUAGUUGUGUACAAAAUUUCAUUGAAAAAUAUUGAGUUUUGAAGGGUCAAACGAAUUUAUUUCCAAAGCUAGUAAUCUGGGAAAACGGUUGCCGUCGUAACCAAACCAGUGUUCGUGUUUCGUCCAUAACUCCGUACUCCGACGUCAAAAUCAAGUGCCAUUAGCGGCAUUUGAAACUAGACAUUCCCAUGUUUCCAACAGUGUAUAGUGCACAUUCUGGUUUCAUGUGUGUGAGCCACACCAUUCAUCUGAAGUCGGCUGUCCUGUUUCUCCGUUCUGCCGAAAUGAUUUGAUGAUGCUGCAACUUGAGGCUUGAUUUUGAACCAGUUGCAUGCUGAAACUUGUAACGAUUUCUUCUGUAAAGUUGUAGCCCUAUGAAUUUAUUUUCUAACACUAUCAACCAUUUCUAAUUCCGAGUUAAAUUGAGAGAGUUAUGAUCAAAAUACGGCGACUGCCUCAUUUUUGAAAACCUUAGCUUUGGACAGAUUGCCUUAAGGAUUUUUCCAAACUUUGGUUGAUUGAAUGACCACCCUUCCGAGGGUAUUUUUCCAUGAAAUUUCAUAGAGAGAUAACCUUCAUAUGGAAGUAUUAUACUGCAAAAUUUGGUGUCAAUCCAAGUCCGUUUAGGCACUUAACUAAAGGUCCAAAGUUGGAACCAAAUCUGGAAAUUUUGUAACAAUCUUGAAUUUUCCCCAACUUCGAGCUACCGUAUCUUGGUACUCGAAACUCCGAUUCUUGAGCCGCUUGGUCCAUCCAAAACUUUACUUGCAGUUCUAAGUGAGUUAUAAGUUUCAAGGGCCGGUUUCCAACGAGUGAUUUUUGCCGAAUUUCCAAAAUUAGCGAAAAACCAACCCGGCUCAAUCCUAGCAAUCUAGAACAGUAACUUUAGGCUCAUUUUUGAAUGCCUUCCACUUAGAUUCAUGGAAUGGUGUCUUCUAAGAACUUUUAGUACUUUCAAAGACGAUUCCAACGGUACCAAAUUCAUCAAGUUUCGAUUAGUAGAAAAGAAGUUAUGAUUUUUCAAAGAUUUGACCAAAAAUCAAAAAUUCUGAAAUUUCAAAGGAAAUCCGCGAAGGAACAAUUUUCCAGAAUCCGGCCUUGAAUCCGGCCAGAAACUGGCCGGAUUGUCGGCCGGAUUGGUGGCCAAAAUUGAAAAAAGGGGGUUAGCCACUGCCUCCAAUCCGGCCGGAUAUCCGGCCAGGUUCCGGCCGGAUUGUGACGUGGCCAACCUUCCUUCGAUUUCGAUCGUUCGUUUUGCAAUCUUUUCGCUCGUACUUGUUUCCAACCAAUGAUUUUAAGGAUAAUAAUCCAAUUUUUGUACUUAAGUUUUACACCCUUUUGAGAAUUCAACUUCAAAGGCAAGUCAAACGAAGUUUUCAAUUAUUUUCGAACCUUACUCGUGUUCAAUCUUUCUCACCACUUGGGGACCUACAGUAAUUAUCUAAUAUACGAUGUUCAGGCAUGCACGAGGACCUCCAAGAGGACCCUACUGUGGAAGUUUGAACUCUCCCUCCAACCUACUAGCUUGCAUAACUUGGUGAGUGUCAAGUGUAUGCCUACUUGAACUCUAAAGUCUUGAUUCAUGCUUGAUUCACCUGAUUUCAUGCUUAGCUUAACUGAUUUUGACAAAAUGGAGUCGAGUGUGUACUUGAUCGCACUCGUUCUCAUUUGAAACGAAUGACUCAUGCUUAACAUGAUUUGCUUGAUUUACAUGACUUGAAAUGCCUGCUUAAACCUAUCAAAUGCUUGAAUACAUGAAAUGGUAUGCUAUGAUUGCAUACGUCGAUGGAGUGAAUCUCCUCGACAUUUACAUGACACAUGGGGGACGCCCAAACUCAUAGGCCGACCUUGGAACUCGAGCCGGCAUUGGCUUGGUCGGAAACCUCGGCGAACCAUGAGAUUCAAAUGAUAAGCUUGAUCUAUUGAGAGAUCUCGCUUGGCAUACUCGUAAAGUAUCGCCUUAUAAAUGUCGUGCGGGCCCGAAGUGGUGUAUGGUGGACGGAUGGGAAGUAAGUGAUGAACUACGGAUAUGAAAAUAUCAAUCCGGUUGACGGAGAGUCAUCACGGAAAGAUAUAUAAAUGGUAUCGGCAAAUGUGGAACUUAGCUCCUGAGAGCUUCUAUAUCCUUGAAUUGUUUCUGGUUACAGUUUAUUGGUGUUAUUAAUUACUUGCAAGCUAAUACCUGAAUUGUUAUUUAGGAUUGUUAUCUGAACUAUGUGUUUGCAUGUGUGUUCUUGGCCUCACGAGCGUUUUGCUCACCCUGUAGAUUUGUUUUCCUUAACAGGUUGAGUUCAGAGGUAAAAUGGAGCAGCCCUCUUGAUGUGCUUUUGUUUUAGGGUUGCUAUUACUUUUGUUUAUGCCUUUGGCUUUGGACGAAAUGUAUUAUGUAUGCUGACGGGUGGUUUGAAGAAUGGAUAACUGUUAUUAAGUUUGAACACUUCCGCAAUUAUUGUAUCUAAGUUAUCGAUUUGUAUUGUGUGGUCCGGAUAUAAGUUGAAUGGAAUUGCUUGAGUCCUGGUGAGAGCUAGGCAGGUGUCCCGCGGAUACCCUUUGGUUCGCCUUAGGGAGAAGUGGGGGCGUCACAGUUGGUAUCAGAGCGCUAGGUUAGAGAUCUAUAUGGGAAACAUAUUAGAUACUCUACCUUAAGACUCGAUAUGGGAUGACUUAGUCAUACCCUAAGUGAUACUUGAGGCGAGCUAGCAACUAAGUUAGUCCUACCUCAAGUGACAAUUGGGAUGAACCAAUGAUUAGGUUAGGCAUGCAUUGCAAGAUAUUGGAACUAAAUAGAGAUUUAAAUUUCUAACCCAAAAGGUGCUAUUAUGUUGCAGGGAUGGACAACGGAAAUGGAGUUCCGGCAGCUAACGGGAAUGGCCAUGCUAAUGAUCAUAUAGCGCCUCCUAGACCUAUCUUUUAUCGAGCUUUGGCUGGGGAAGCUCGAGUACGCUACUCCCCAUCUGACCGAUAUCCCCGAUGUGCUUGUAGGGUGACCUUUGCUUACCCAAACCAUGUUGUACUGGCCUUGGACGACGAGCGUCGUCAGUUGGUGACUGCCAACUUAGACUUACAGGCUGAGGUCGAUGAGCUUCGACAGAUGGUGAGCGCUCAGGGCGAGAGGGUCGCCGAGCUUGAGGAGGUGAUUGAGGGCGAGGUUGCCACAUCUGCUGUGGUUAACGAGGAGCUCCGGAGCACUAGGGCUCAGCUUACUAGGCUGAGAGAGGAGGUCCGUAGUCGGGCUUCCGAUAUUGUAGCUGAUGCCACUAGGCUAGUUGAUGAGGCUAUGGGGGUAGCCCAGGAUUCUGGGGAGGAUCCGGAGGAGGAUCCUGAGGAGGAGGUUCCUCCUGAUAGUCCUGCUGCGGAUUAGGUCUAGAUUGAUCGACCUCUUUUGACUUUUUGACUAGUAUUAGCAGGGGUGAUGCUAAGUGCUGAGGCCAUUGUAUUUUGCAUGACUGUGUGGCCUACUUCUGAGGCACUAGAUUUACUUUAGUCUUCUGUGACUAAAAGUAUUCUUAUGGCACCUGUGUGCUAUAUUUUUGUGAUUACCCCCUGACUUGCUAAUUGUAUGAAUUGGAUAUGCUAAUUAAUGUAAAUUAUUGUUAAUUCCAAUGUUUUCUUGAUUGGUUCCUGCUUUCUAUUUUGCAUCGCAUAAUUUAUUUAUUUCUUGCACUAGGCACGCCUAGGUCAUGGAAGGACUAAGAGGUGGUCGAGGUCGUGGUUGAGACCGUGGUCGAGGUCGUGGGCGAGGGACUAGUCAGGCCCAACCUCAAGGGGGUGACCAGGGAUCGACAACUGCACCGAUCCAAUGUCAGGAAAAUAUUGAGGGUAAUCAAGUGGCUACUGCCAUUAAUAGGAUGACUGAUAUCCUAGAGCGUUUGGCUGAUAGACAGGACCCUGGACCGUUCAACCAACCUGGGGGUCAGGAAAGAGGAAUGGAUAGAGCCUUAGAGAGAUUCUUGAAAUUUAACCCGCCUAAAUUUCUUGGCGAACCUGAUCCUGAGGUGGCGGAGAAUUGGUUAGAAAGGAUGACCAAUAUAUUCGCUGCUUUAGACUACACUGAGGAUAGGCGAGUGAAUUUCGCUGCUUUCCAAUUUGAGGGGGUAGCCCGUGCUUGGUGGGAUUUGAUAAAAAGAAAAUGGGAGAGAACUCAAAACCCUUGGACUUGGGAUAAUUUCACAAGGGAAUUUAAAGAAAAGUUUCUCCCGCCCUAAAUCCAAGAGAAGAGGGAGAAUGAAUUUAUCAAACUGAAACAGGGAACCCUUAGUGUAGCAGAGUAUGAAGGAAAAUUUACUAAACUUUCAAAGUAUGCUCCCGAACUGGUGACAAAUGAGCGAAAAAGGAUUAGACGGUUUGUUCAAGGACUUAAUGUGGAGAUACAAGAGGGCCUGGCCGCAGCCCAAAUCUCUACAUUUACUGAGGUUUUAGAGAAGGCACAAACGGUUGAAAGUGCAAGGUCUCAAGUGAGAGACUUCCAUAGCAGAAAGAUAAACUUUUCUAGCCAUGCUUCUGGACAAGUUAGUAAAAAUGUACAGCCUUCCAAAAUGGAAAAAGAAAUGGGAGGACCAAGGACUGCUGGACCUUCGAGAGGAGCUUUAUCUAGAGGAGGUCGUAGGGGACCGACACAGGCAAGAAGGGCACCUUCUAGCGGUUCAGCGGUGACCCCUCAAGUUUCAUGUGGUUACUGCAGAAAACCAAACCAUUCUGAAAGUGAUUGUUGGAGGAAGUCUGGGAAGUGCCUGGCUUGUGGUAGUACCGAGCAUCAGCUUGCGAACUGUCCAAAUAAAAUGAAGACGGGAGGUGAUACCCAAAGGCCAGAAAAGUCAGCUUCUAAGCAAACUAGUGCCGGAGGGAGUCGACCGAAAGUACCGGCUAGGGUUUAUGCACUGGACUAUCAACAAGUUCCUGAGGCAACUGAGAUGGUAGAAGGUACGAUUCCGAUCUUUCACCAUUUACCUAGGGUUUUAAUAGAUCCAGGUGCUACACAUUCUUUUGUAAACUCUAAUUUCAUGAAUGGGAUAGACUUGAAACCAAUUAAUUUACCAUAUGAUCUAGAGGUUAAAACGCCUACUGGGGAUCAAAGUCUAAUUGCUAAUUUGGUGUAUCAAGGUUGUGAAAUCUGGAUUGGGGAACGAAAAUUAUCGGCUGAUUUGAUGGGAUUGAUGAUUAAAGGAUACGAUGUAAAUUUAGGAAUGGAUUGGUUAGCCCGUUAUAAUGCUCAGCUAAACUGUAGGACGAAGGUUGUGGAGUUGCGUAUUCCAGGAGAGGCAACCCUGAAACUGGAUGUAAAGGGUAAAUUAGCUUCGUCUGCACUUAUUUCAGGAAUUCGGGCUAGAAAGUUGUUAAGUAAAGGAGCUCAAGGAUAUUUGGCUUUUCUUAUUAACACCCCUAGUGAUAAAGUGAAUUUGGAGGACAUGCCUGUAGUGAAAGAUUUUCCUGAUAUUUUUCCUGAAGAAUUGGAGUCUCUACCCCCAGAACGGGAAAUAGCCUUUAAGAUUGAUGUAACUCCGGGAGUAACCCCUAUUUCUAGGACGCCAUAUCGAAUGGCUCCAGCCGAAUUGAAGGAGUUGAAAUUGCAAUUGCAAGAUUUGUUAGAAAGAGGUUUUAUUAAAGAGAGUGAUUCUCCGUGGGGAGCCCCAGUUUUGUUUGUUAAGAAAAGGGACGGGAGUUUGAGGCUAUGUAUAGACUAUAGAGGUUUAAAUAAUGUUACAACUAAGAAUAAAUACCCACUGCCCCACAUUGAUGAGUUGUUUGACCAGUUACAAGGGGCUGUAGUAUUUUCUAAGUUGGACUUGAGGCAGGGUUAUUAUCAGUUGAGGAUUUUGGAGAAAGAUAUACCCAAGACUGCUUUUAACUCGAGAUAUGGGCAUUUUGAAUUUGCCGUGAUGCCAUUUGGGUUAACGAAUGCUCCUGCUGCUUUUAUGGAUCUAAUGCAUAGGGUCUUUAAACCUUAUCUAGACCAAUUUGUGGUGGUCUUUAUUGAUGAUAUAUUGGUGUAUUCUAAGAAUGUGUAAGACCAUGAGAAACACUUGAUGGUUGUUUUACAGACCUUAAGGGAGCACCAAUUGUAUGCUAAGUUUAGCAAGUGUGAAUUUUGGUUAAAAGAAAUGACUUUCUUGGGACACAUAAUUUCUAAGGAAGGGAUUAAAGUGGAUCCAGCUAAAGUUGAAGCUGUUUCAAAAUGGAAACGACCGGAAAACCCUACCGAGAUUCGAAGUUUCAUUGGAUUAGCAGGGUAUUACCGGAGAUUCAUUCAGGAUUUUUCAAAUAUUGCUGGACCCAUGACUGAAUUGACCAAGAAAAAUAGGAAGUUUAUAUGGAGUCCUAAGUGUGAGGAAAAUUUUCAGGAAUUGAAAAGACGGUUAACAAGGGCACCUGUGUUGGCUUUGCCAAACGGAAAAGAUAGUUUUGUGGUUUACACAGAUGCUUCUAAGGAAGGACUGGGUUGUGUUUGAAUGCAAGAUGGCAAAGUAAUAGCAUAUGCCUCUAGGAAAUUGAAACCACAUGAAGGGAAUUACCCGACUCAUAAUUUGGAGUUAGCGGUGGUGGUCUUUGCUUUGAAGAAAUGGAGACAUUAUUUGUAUGAGGUAACAUCUGAGGUUUUUACAGACCACAAAAGUCUUAAGUACUUGUUUUCUCAAAAGGAGCUGAAUUUGAGGCAACGUAGAUGGAUGGAAUUUUUGGAAAACUAUGAUUGUACUAUCAAGUACCAUCCAGGGAAAUCUAAUGUAGUGGCCGAUGCCUUGAGUCGUCAAGUACAAAUGGCUGGAUUGAUGAUUAAGGAGUUUCAAUUAUUGGAAGAAGUGAGUUACUGGAAUCCUCGAUUGGAACCAAGGAAGGUAAUUUUGGGGAAUAUUAUAGUAACCUCCACUCUAUUGGAACGCAUCAAGGAAUUUCAAGAAAAGGACACGGAAGUGCAAAAAUGGGUGGAAAAGAGUAAAAUGGAAGACAAUACAGAUUUUAAUUUGGGGUCAGAUGGAAUAUUGAGGUUUCAGAAUCGAGUAGUUGUGCCAAAGGAUGAAGGGCUUAAAAGGGAAAUCUUAGAAGAGGCACACCGAUCAAAGUUUACGGUACAUCCAGGAGGGAAUAAAAUGUACCAGGACUUGAAGAGUCUGUAUUGGUGGGAGAACAUGAAGAAGGAAAUUGCCCAAUUUGUCCAAACAUGUUUAAUUUGUCAACAAGUUAAAGCCGAACAUCAGAAACCGUCAGGACUUUUGCAACCCCUAGAAAUACCUGAGUGGAAAUGGGAAAAUAUCACUAUGAAUUUUGUAUCGGGAUUACCCAGAACGCAGAGAGGCCAUGAUGCAAUUUGGGUAAUAGUGGAUAGAUUGACUAAAUCGGCCCAUUUUCUGCCGAUUAGCAUGAAGUACCCGUUGGAAAAGUUGGCCAAAUUGUAUUUGGAUGAGAUCAUUAGGUUGCAUGGCAUACUUGUGAGUAUUGUGUCCGACAGGGAUCCGAGAUUUGUUUCAAGAUUCUGGCAAAAGAUGCAGGAGGUAUUGGGGACUAAGUUGAACUUUAGUACCACUUAUCAUCCUCAGACUGAUGGACAGUCAGAAAGGACAAUUCAAACACUUGAGGACAUGUUAAGGACAUGUAUUCUGGACUUUGGAGAAAAUUGGAGUAAGUUUUUAACUUUAGUGGAAUUUGCCUACAACAAUAGUUUCCACUCUUCUAUUCAGAUGGCCCCGUAUGAGUCACUUUAUGGUCGAAAAUGUAGGUCUCCAAUUUGUUGGGAAGAAAUAGGUGAACGGAAGAUUCUAGAUCCGACCACAGUAUCUUGGAUUGAAGAAGCUAAUGAAAAGGUAAAGUUGGUACGACAAAGAAUUCAGGUUGCUCAGAGCCGCCAAAAGAGUUAUGCUGAUAAUCGGAGGAAAGAAUUGGAGUUUAAUGUUGGAGAUUUGGUAUUUCUCAAGAUUACACCUCUGAAAGCAAGGUUGAAGUCUGGGAAAGGAAAGAAGUUACAACCAAGAUUUGUAGGACCUUAUAAGAUUAUCCAACGUGUGGGGAAUGUAGCCUAUAAGUUGGAAUUACCGCCGAGUUUAUCUCGAAUCCAUAAUGUGUUUCAUGUAUCUAUGCUUAAGAAGUAUCAUCCGGACCCUUCUCACGUCUUACAACUGGAAAAUGUUGAGAUUGAUGAGACCUUAACCUAUGAGGAGAAACCGGUUACACUUCUGGAUAGGAAGGUAAAGGAAUUGAGGAAUAAACAGAUACCAUUAGUGAAGGUCCUCUGGAAGAACCAUGGGUUGGAGGAAGCAACUUGGGAGGUCGAAGAAGCAAUUCGAGAAAAGUAUCCAGACCUGUUCGUCAAUCAAGGUAAAUUUCGAGGACGAAAUUGUUUAAGGGGGAGAGGAUGUGAGGAUUCGAAAUUUCUAUUAUUUUAAAAUCCCUAAUUUUGGCUCAAUUAAUUAUUUAUUUGGAUUUUUGCCACGAAUAAUAUUUUCUAGCCUAUUAGAUCUAAGUACAUGAUUUUAUAGUUCGUUAUAUUUCUAAAGUGUCUCAUUUUAAAAAAUAAAAUAAAAUAAAAAUAUAGAUGAAUAAACAAAUAUUUUCAUAAAAACUUAAUUAGUGAAAAAGUGAAAACGUAUUUCAACUUUAGCCAAUUGGGAGUGCAAUAAGCUAAAAAUUUAAGACAUAUACAAUGGUCCUAAAAUAGACAAUUUUAGGUUUAAACACACAAGUAAUAACUAGUGGUACAAUCGUUAUAAGAAUUUUUCAAAGGUUUCAAUUUUAUUGCGCCUAAAUUAGAAAUACGUGUUUUCACGUGCGCGCUUAAUUGGGAGACUUUAGACCAUUAUUUUGAGACAACUAGGAAUGAAUAAUAUUUAUACAAAUGUAAGUGCCCUAGAGGUUUAGUGUACUAGUGCAAUAAACGUAAGAGAAAUCGAACACAAAACGCGAGUGUAGGGUACUAGUUAUAAUUGAUUUGACGUAUUAAAAGAUUUGACGUCAAGCGUCUCUUAUACGCAAAGGCUUCGGAACCGCAAUUCAUUUCCUUUCCUCUGCUGCAAUGGACGGCUAGACUGCAGCAAAGGAACAACCGAAGCUUCACCAUUUCUUCUCUUCCAAAACUCAACCAAAUUCCUACCAAAACUUCCAUAGUUUCUCACCAAACUUCACAUUCAUUUAACUUUUCACUUGGACAACAACAUAGGCUGAAAAAGGGAGGAGCUUUCACGGUUUCUUCAAGCUUCAAAGGACCAAAAAAUCUGUCCAAACCAGCCAUCAAAGUAGGUAGCAAUCUAACACCUUCAACUUGUCUUAUGGAAGUUGAUUUACGCAUUUGAGUUGGAAUCUUUACUUUAAUAGCUUGUAUUGUUGGAAAUGUGGGCUCUAUGAACUCCCACUUUGGGUUGAUGGCUGUGAUGAUGUUUGAUGAUGGUUUAUUUUCUGAAUUAGAGCUUAAGGAAGUAGAUUAAAGGUGCUUUGUUACCAGAAACGUUAUUGAACUCUUGAAACAAAAAGUUUCCAUUUUACCCCUGCUCUGUUCGGUCACUUAAAUGCACAAAUUUGAGGAUUUAAUGGCUUUAUUAUGUUGUAUAUAUGUUGUAGUAGUUGUGUACAAAAUUUCAUUGAAAAAUAUUGAGUUUUGAUGGGUCAAAUGAAUUUAUUUCCAAAGCUAGUAAUCUGGGAAAACGGUUGCCGUCGUAACCAGACCAGUGUUCGUGUUUCGUCCAUAACUCCGUACUCCGACUUUGAAAUCAAGUGCUGUUAGCGGAAUUUGAAACUAGACGUUCCCAUGUUUCCAACGGUGUAUAGUGUACAUUCUGGUUUCAUGUGUGUGAGCCACACCAUUCAUCUGAAGUCGGCUGUGCUGUUUCUCUGUUCUGCCGAAAUGAUUUGAUGAUGCUGCAACUUGAGGCUUGAUUUUGAACUAGUUGCAUGCUGAAACUUGUAACGAUUUCUUCUGUAAAGUUGUAGCCCUGUGAAUUUAUUUUCUAACACUAUCAACCAUUUCCAAUUCUGAGUUAAAUUGAGAGAGUUAUGAUCAAAAUACUGCGACUGCCUCAUUUUUGAAAACCUUAGCUUUGGACAGAUUGCCUUAAGGAUUUUUCCAAACUUUGGUUGAUUGAAUGACCACCCUUCCGAGGGUAUUUUUCCAUGAAAUUUGAUAGAGGGAUAACCUUCAUAUGGAAGUAUUAUACUGCAAAAUUUGGUGUCAAUCCAAGUCCGUUUAGGCACUUAACUAAAGGUCCAAAGUUGGAACCAAAUCUGGAAAUUUUGUAACAAUCUUGAAUUUUCCCCAACUUCGAGCUACCGUAUCUUGGUACUCGAAACUCCGAUUCUUGAGCCGCUUGGUCCAUCCAAAACUUUACUUGCAGUUCUAAUGAGUUAUAAGUUUCAAGGGCCGGUUUCCAACGAGUGAUUUUUGCCCAAUUUCCAAAAUUAGCGAAAAACCAACCCGGCUCAAUCCUAGCAAUCUAGAACAGUAACUUUAGGCUCAUUUUUGAAUACCUUCCACUUAGAUUCAUGGAACGGUGUCUUCUAAGAACUUUUAGUACUUUCAAAGACGAUUCCAACGGUACCAAAUUCAUCAAGUUUCGAUUAGCAGAAAAGAAGUUAUGAUUUUUCAAAGAUUUGACCAAAAAUCAAAAAUUCUGAAAUUUCAAAGGAAAUCCGUGAAGGAACAAUUUUCCAGAAUCCGGCCUUGAAUCCGGCCAGAAACUGGCCGGAUUGUCGGCCGGAUUGGUGGCCAAAAUUGAAAAAAGGGGGUUAGCCACUGCCUCCAAUCCGGCCAGAAAUCCGGCCGGAUAUCCGGCCAGGUUCCGGCCGGAUUGUGACGUGGCCAACCUUCCUUCGAUUUCGAUCGUUCGUUUUGCAAUCUUUUCGCUCGUACUUGUUUCCAACCAAUGAUUUUAAGGAUAAUAAUCCAAUUUUUGUACUUAAGUUUUACACCCUUUUGAGAAUUCAACUUCAAAGGCAAGUCAAACGAAGUUUUCAAUUAUUUUCGAACCUUACUCGUGUUCAAUCUUUCUCACCACUUGGGGACCUACAGUAAUUAUCUAAUAUACGAUGUUCAGGCACGCACGAGGACCUCCAAGAGGACCCUACUGUGGAAGUUUGAACUCUCCCUCCAACCUACUAGCUUGCAUAACUUGGUGAGUGUCAAGUGUAUUCCUACUUGAACUCUAAAGUCUUGAUUCAUGCUUGAUUCACCUGAUUUCAUGCUUAGCUUAACUGAUUUUGACAAAAUGGAGUCGAGUGUGUACUUGAUCGCACUCGUUCUCAUUUGAAACAAAUGACUCAUGCUUAACAUGAUUUGCUUGGUUUACAUGACUUGAAAUGCCUGCUUAAACCUAUCAAAUGCUUGAAUACAUGAAAUGGUAUGCUAUGAUUGCAUACGUCGAUGGAGUGAAUCUCCUCGACAUUUACAUGACACAUGGGGGACGCCCAAACUCAUAGGCCGACCUUGGAACUCGAGCCGGCAUGGGCUUGGUCGGGAACCUCGGUGAACCAUGAGAUUCAAAUGAUAAGCUUGAUCUAUUGAGAGAUCUCGCUUGGCAUACUCGUAAAGUAUCGCCUUAUAAAUGUCGUGCGGGCCCGAAGUGGUGUAUGGUGGACGGAUGGGAAGUAAGUGGUGAACUACGGAUAUGAAAAUAUCAAUCCGGUUGACGGAGAGUCAUCACGGAAAGAUAUAUAAAUGGUAUCGGCAAAUGUGGAACUUAGCUCCUGAGAGCUUCUAUAUCCUUGAAUUGUUUCUGGUUACAGUUUAUUGGUGUUAUUAAUUACUUGCAAGCUAAUACCUGAAUUGUUAUUUAGGAUUGUUAUCUGAACUAUGUGUUUGCAUGUGUGUUCUUGGCCUCACGAGCGUUUUGCUCACCCUGUAGAUUUGUUUUCCUUAACAGGUUGAGUUCAGAGGUAAAAUGGAGCAGCCCUCUUGAUGUGCUUUUGUUUUAGGGUUGCUAUUACUUUUGUUUAUGCCUUUGGCUUUGGACGAAAUAUAUUAUGUAUGCUGACGGGUGGUUUGAAGAAUGGAUAACUGUUAUUAAGUUUGAACACUUUCGCAAUUAUUGUAUCUAAGUUAUCGAUUUGUAUUGUGUGGUCCGGAUAUAAGUUGAAUGGAAUUGCUUGAGUCCUGACGAGAGUUAGGCAGGCGUCCCGCGGAUACCCUUUGGUUCGCCUUAGGGAGAAGUGGGGGCGUCACAGAUACUCAGUCCGAGUCUAAAAACAUAAUUUUUCAUGUGUUGACAUCCACAUGAUGGCAUCUAUUUGUGGGAUUACCUGGCAUUAGAAACAAUUGAAGGUUUCCUAUAGUUAUUGAUCCAAUUGAAUUAGUGAGGAGAAAAUAUAUUAUUUGGUCUUGUGUGGACUUUGGAGCAAAAUAUUGAAUUUUACCCUUUUAUGCUUUCUCGCAUGCGCAUUCACACAUACACACACAUUUAUUUAUAAACACACUAGCCUCUCUCUUUUACCCUUUUAUGCCUGCUGGCACGUACACAUGCACAUACACAUGUUCGCAUGAGUAUUGAGUACGCAAAGAGAGAGAUUGGUAUAUACUAUUGCUUUGUAUGAGGCAUGAGAGUGGGAAGGGACAACUUUUAGCAAACGCAAAAGAAUUGUUAUGUUUCUAAAGAUUGUAGCCUUUGUGUGUAGAAUUAGUACUUGUGAUUGCAGGGGAUCGAUCCCGUGACUUAAACUAUUGAUGCCAGUUAAGUAACUAUCCAUUCGCUAUUGUCAUUCGGAAAUUAGUUUACAAUUAUCCAUUUUUCCUCAAAACAAAAAAUUCCUACAUGAAAAUCUUUUGAAAGUUACAAACAAGUGCAUUAUGUCUUAUACGAAGUAUGGAUAGUAAACUAUUGAACAACAAGUAAUCUGUCUAGCUUAUUUACAAUAAUAGUUUGCUUUGGUAUGAAACCAAUUCUUGAUAGAGGGAAACAUCUCGUGAGAGUCCGCCAAAGAGUCCAAUAUGAAAGUUAGAAACCCAACUUUGAUUCAAAAACUUAAGCCAAUAGGCCUUGGGUCCUUAUUUAAAUAUUAACGAUUCUUUUUCCAUCUCUCGGACCAAUGUGGGAUGUAAUCUUUUUACUCAUAAACCUAACACCUCUAAUGUAUACGAGUCAUUUUGUAGAAACAUUUAGAACCGUAGCUGGUGCUUUCUCUGAGAUUACUUUUUCAGAUGACCAAUAACAAAGAAAUUCCAUUUAGUUGUACAUAUAAUUCCAUUCAAAUGUCACUGAUAUUGAAAGUGAGUUAUAACAAAAGCACUAGCCUCGUCAGCCGUAAAACAAAUCAGAAAAGUUAGUUAUAACAAAAACACUAGCCUCGUCAGCCGUAAAACAAAUCAGAAAAGUUGUGUGUUUAUACAUAUAUACACAUAUAUAUAUAUAUGUAUGUAUGUAUAUAUGUGUAUAUGGAUUGUGUUGCACAUGAUUCAUCAAAGGAAUUAGCUAUAACAAAAAUACUGAACUUGUCAUAAAACAAAUCAGAAAUCGAAUGUUAUCCCUUCAAUAAAAUUCCAUGUGUAAUGAUCAAGACAACUUAUCAGCCACAAAUUCAGUUGGGCCUCCCACUAGAAUAUGUUAGAGUAGGAAUAGAGUAGGUCAUGAUGAUUGACAAAAAAUAAAUUAUAUCAUCUCUCUCUCUCUCUCUCUCUCUCUCUCUCUCUCUCUCUCUCUCUCUCUCUCUCUCGUACAGGAAAAUAUAUCCUCUCUUGCUUUUCUUAAAGGGACAAUUUCAGAAACCUCCCCUCAGGUUGUUAAUAAUGUCAUUGAACUCCCUCAAGGUUAUAAAAAUAACAUUUACCUCCUUCGCCCACAUAAAAUGACAAUAUUAUUUUUAAAAUUUUAAUAAAACUCUCUUGUUAGAUAUACUUUUACAAAGAAUGGUAUUAAUAAUUAUUUUUCUUUUCCUUUUCUAUUCUUAUUCCUUCUUUUUAUAUUUUGCCAAUAAAACCAUAAAAUAUAAUCAUUGACACCAUAAAUGUUGUACUAAUGACAUUUUUUAUGACUUUGAAUUUGAUCUAAUUUUUACUUGCUGAUUUUUUUUGGUACCAAAAGCAACAUUAACUCAAAAAAAAAAGCCCAAAAUUUCCACCAAGCUAUGAUAGUUCCACGAAUGCAAAAUUCUACAAACUUUAAAAGAAUUAUGAUGGUACUUUCUUUUUCAAAUUAAAAAAUACAUACCCUGGUAAAUCACCAUUAAAAGUAGUUUAUCAUAGUGAUAGAACUAUUGUCAUCUUUGCUUAUCAAAUAAUAAAUAUGGCAUUAAAAACUUCUUUCUGUACAUUUUGGAAUAUUCAUUAAAAAUUUUGACCAAGUCUAAGGUUUGGUUGCCAAAAAGUGUCAAAUUAGGGGAGGUAGGUGUAAUUUUUGAAACCUUAAGGGAGCUCAGUGAAAUUGUUAAAAAUCUUAGAGGAGGUUUAUGAAAUUAUCCCGUUCUUAAAUCUCACCUUCUUAAUUGUCUUUAUGAGGAAAAUUAAUAAGCCAUGUCACCGUGAGAUGAUGAUAAAACAUCCAUCCUUGCAUGCAUCAAAAAUUAGUUAACAUCUAAAGCAUUGUGCGUUGUUAUUAUAUAUUGGAUAUUCUUUACUUUUUAUUUACAUUUUUUUUAACAUUGUCGAGAAACUCUAGAUCAGUACUCAAGGGAAUUGAAAAUCCUUGCCAUCAAGGUCCUUGAGCAAAUGACAAAAGCAUUAGGAAUGAAGCUUGAAGAUAUGACAAUGCUUUUUCAAGAAGGGAUGCAAUCAAUAAGGACGAACUAUUGUCCUCCAUGUCCCCAACCUGACAUAGUGAUGGGCCUUUGCCCCCACUCUGAUGCUGCUGGGCUACCACAUUACUUCAAAUCAAUGACGUGGAAGGCCUCCAAAACAAAAAGGCUGGAACUUGGGUUGCUGUUGUACCGCAUCCUAAAGCAUUCAUAGUCAAUGUUGGAGACAUUACAGAGGUAAUCAUGCUCAAGAUCCUUUCUCCAUAGAUGUAAUGGGAGUAUAAACAAUCUCUUCGAAUUGCUUUUCUGUUUAUAUAAUUACAACAUCUAUCUAGUUUUUUAUGAGAUAAUUUCAAAUUGGUUUCUACAAUUUUGACCAUAUAUGGCAACUAGAUUGUCCUUCCCAUAUUUUAAUAGGAUUCAAGAGAUAAUCUUUCCGAUUAUGAUUAGUAUGCCUACACUAGGUUGAUGUAAGACUAAUUAUCAACUUGCACCGCCUAGAAAAUUAGGCCAGGUCAAAGUGUAGCUUUCAUCCCAAAAUUUAACUUUUGACAAAUUUGUGCCUAAACUUCUAACUUCGGCUGCUUAGUCAGAGUUAAACGAAUGUUGUUUAUUGAUAGAAUAUUGGCUACUUUAAUGGAACACGUAUCUUUGUAAAGUCAAAAAAAGCAUAAAAUAUAUAGAUGAAAAGGUCUUUAUAUUGAAAAAGCAGUUUUAUUCAUAUUAGUAACCAAUUUAAUUAAUUAAUUACUUCAUUAUUCGAGUAAUAUUGCCCAAGAAUGUAAAACUUGGGCAUAAUAACUUCAAAAUUAGUAUUGUACAUGCCCUUACACCCCACCCUCCAAAUUAUUGCUUACCUGUGAUGUACGAGUGGUGAAAUUCAAACUACUUUCCUUUCAUCAUUUUGAAAAAAAUACUUACUCUUUUUCCCAACAAGUUUGUUUUGAUUUUCAGAAAGGAAUUUACUUUUUGUCUUGAUUUCAAUGCUAAUUACAGGAGUUACUUACAAAUCAUGUCCUGGAUCUAUCAGGGUAUAGCUUCUGAAUUCUAUCUUCAAUGUUUUUGGGGCAUAACAGUAGCUAUAGGUGGACUCACAAGAUUACCCUGUUAACCAUAUCGUAUUAUUGAGCCUAAUUGAGCUUUUAUGAGAAUGUAUGCUACAUAGUACACAGUUGGGAAAAAUGUGACGUUUUUGAACUGAGAUGCAAAUUGUGCCAAACGGAAUUUACAAGAGUGUUGAGCAUCGGGCAACUGUGAAUUUGCACAACGAAGGGCUUUCCAUUGCAACGUUUCUUGUCCCAAAACUGGAUUGUGAUAUGGGUCCAGCGCCAAGUCUUAUCACCCCUGAAAAUCCAGCAAUUUUCAGAAGAAUUAGUAUCAUUGACUAUUUAAAAGCGUUUUUUUACCGUGAACUAGAUGGGAAAUCAUUCGUUGACGCAUUGAGGACCCAAAUCGAAGACUUUUAGGCUCUUAGUCCCUUUAUGAUAUUUCUCUUUGAAACUUGUGUACACUGUUGAUAUGGUGUCCCCUCACCAUUGCCUCCCCCAACUUUCAUUCACCACAAAUUGUAUAAUUGUUUAAGAAUUAAUCCCGUAUACAUUGAUACUAUUUAUGCUAUUAGAUUCGAAUGCAUGACAACUAAUAUUAAUUUAAAUUUAAAAUUCAAAAUUUGAAACAAAUAGUAUGUAUUGCUAAUAAUGUAUACAUUAUUAAUAUAAAGAAAAUUAAUCUAUUUUUUAAAUAUGAAAGAGAAUGAUGAGUAAUUGUAUGUGCUAUCAACGAUGCAUUAGAAGUCAUUCUUUAUGCCAGAUCUUGAUAAGGGGAACCCAAAAAAAAAAAACAAAAAAAACUCUUUGCUAUUUUACCUUUUCCCUCUAGUACUUAUUUUACGCACAAUUAUAAAUCUUUGAAUAUAUUGCUAUUCCAUAAGUUUGAUUUUCGUUUAUUUCAUAUUGUAUUCACUGGCAUAACUUCGCUCCUUCGAAUCUUACCCCAUCAACAUUGUGGAAAUUUAGCCAGAUGAAACCGAUUGGGAAUGUUUUAAAAGACGAAAGUGUUAGGCUGAUGGCCCCAAUUCUAACUUCUAAGCGGACAUCUCACUAUUCCUUUUAUUUUUCCCCCUAAAAGUUAAAACGUCAACUUCCAAGUGGGAUACGGGGCAGGAGCGGUCCUCAGACGACCGCUCCUGAACGGUCUCCUCACAGAAAGAAAGGUAAGGCCAGAAAUAAACCACGUCAAAAGGCUUCAGUUUGGCCCAAAACGACGUCGUUUUAUUAGGUGAGACAGUAAAAAAAAUGGUUAUGCUCUGCUAACCGUAACGGCAAGAAACGGAACGUUAUGACCACUAGUAAGCAAAGUCCCGCCCAAACCGAAAGGUUGAAAAUGAAAAGCCGCACUUAGACUCCCACCCAAACCAGACGAAGCAGUUGCAUGCGAAAAGCCACGAAGGGAGAAAUAAGAGGGGAAAAUACGAGAUUGGCAACACUCUCCGGCGUGACAUUGCGAAAAGCUGUGGAAGUGCAACAUUGGAUACUGAAAAAAUAGCAAGGAGAAGCAAGAAGUGGUGGAGUGGUGGACAAAUUUCUGGUGAUUCGGAUUUAUUAUAAGAAGAAGAAAGGUGAACCCAAGGUUGAAGAGCGGAAGAUCGUAAAGCGCGGGAGUAGUGAACGACCGAAAAUCAGUCAGGUAUUCAAAUUUUUUUGAGGCCUAUGAUGAUGCAGUAACAUGUGUGAUUUGACAUGCUUGUUGAAGGACCUUACUUGUGGAUGUUGUUGGCGUACAGUAGGAUGAUCGCUUAGAGGGAUAUCACUUGAGCACAAUUUUGUGUAUAGUAAUGAGUAAGUGCAGCAUGAUAGGAGUAUUAUGAGUUAGUUUUUGAGCAUGACAGAGUGAGAGUGGGAAAGAAGGGGGAAAUCGUGCGGCACAACUGUUUGAGAAAAUGUGUGCAUGGGUUCGAUAGUUAGUAUUGAAAAAAUGGAUGCAGAUUAUAAUUGAAAAAAUGUUAUCAUGAAAUUGGGAUGGCGUUUUUGGGUCUUGAAUGGUGUAAGUUUAUUGUAUUAGUUCGUGUGCACGAACACAGUGUUGGAUAAUUGUUACAUGUUGUGGUUGAACAGGUACAUAGAAAUAAUAGAGUUCAAAUGUUUUGUACUGAGUUGUGCGUCUCAUACUUGCUAAUGAAAAUGUUAUUUUGAAAUUGAGAUGUCAUAGUUGGGUCUUGAAUGGUGGGAAAGUUAUUGUAUUAGUUCGUGUGCAGGAACACAGUGUUGGAUAAUUGUUACAUGUUGUGGUUGGAUAGGUACAUAGAAAUAAUAGAGUUCAAAUGUUUUGUACUGAGUUGUGCGUCUCAUACUUGCUAAUGAAAAUGUUAUUUUGAAAUUGAGAUGUCGUAUUUGUGUCUUGAUUGGUGUAAGUUUAUUGUAUUAGGGCGUGUGCAUUAACACAGUGUUGGAAAAUUGUUACAUGUUGUGGUUUAACAGGUACAGAGAAAUAACAGAGUUUUAAUGUUUUGUACUCAGUUGUGCUUCUCAUAUUUUCUUUUACAUUGAUGUUACAGGUUAUUGGUUUACUUGCAUAAAGAGAGACAAGUUUCUAGGUUGGAAGUGAAUGAGUACGAGAGUAGGUUAUAAGUUGGCAAUGUGAGACAGACGGAAUAACAAAUCAUGAGGUUUAGCAUAGUUAGUGUGGAAUAACGGUUAAGAAUCUUACUAGUUAUUGUAGGUGCACAUCAUGUUGGAUAGUCAUUACACGCAGUCAUUUAAUAGUGACACUAGGAGAAGUGCACUGUAAAAUUGGAUGAACAAUGACGUAAAAUUGUUUAACGGGUUUGUUGCUUCAUUCAUAUUGUUGAAGAGGGUGAUAAAUAAAGGAGAAUGUGAUUGAAUUGAACUUGAUAGGCAGGGGAAUAGAUUAUGAAAUGACUAAAUGAGGGAUAAUUAACCAGAAAAUUUGGUAUUGAGACAAACAAAUUGUGAAAAGGAAGAUUACUUGUACAAUAAUUGUUGUGGUUGGACAUCAUCUUUGAUAGUUGUUACACGUAAUAGAUCAGAAGUUACAAUAAUAGAACUGGUCUAUAGAAUUUCAUGAAGAUACUAUAAAUUUGGAUGGCCCCUUAUUCUACUGCAUUGGUAUUGUACAGUAGCAUAAUAAAUAGAAGAAGAAAUUGAUGGAUGAAGUACAAUCUGAUAGGUAGAACAACAGAUUAUGUAGAUUAGUGGCAGUUGGAAUAAAUAACAAACUGUGAAGAAUGAGUUACUGAGUGUGAGAAAAAAUGUUACAGGUUGUACUAUAACUAGCGUGACUAAUAUUUGAUGCUCAUAUAUUAUGUUUAGCAGUACUUCAUGAUAUGUUCUGACUGUGGUUGGAAAAAAAAUUUUGGAACUGAAGUGCAAUAUGUUUGUUAAAAACAUUAGUUUACAAUGGCAAGAACGCGAGCAGGAAGCACACUUCAGGAAGCAGACAGAGAAGAACUCGCCGAAACAAGUGGUGGUACAGAACACGGUGCAGCACCCACUUCAUCGAAUAGGUAAGUGGCCAGUGCUUGCGUAAGGUCUUGGCAGGUUAGACUUGGCAUCAUUAUUCAGCAUUACAAUGUUGACUGUUCAGGGGCAGGAUAGGAAGGAAAAGAAGCAGUAAAAGGAAUGAUCGUUUAGGUGGGGAGAAAGAACUGAUUACAGCGGGAACAAGCGAGGUCGCAGAACCAGUCCCACCAUUGAAUCCAUGGAUGAAGUUCAGGUAAGAUUAUUGAAUAUGAGGGAAAAAUAAUGGUACUAAAUAGCACAUAUAACUUUGGAGUUUUGAAUGUGGACAGGAAAGAGUAUCAACACACGGUUUCGGCGAAGGGUGUUAAGCUGACCGAGGUAUGCUGUCCUAGCAAAAUAAACUGAAGAAUCAUUGAACUGAUAGGGUGCCUAAGGGAAAAAUAGUGAAACGAGCAAUUAUUUUGUGUUUAGUCUAACGUGUUUUUUGAUUUUAUUUAUUCAAUGCAGUACAAUGACAUUGCCCGGGCAGCAUAUAAUAAGUUGAGUGAGGAAGAAAUGAGGAAGCGAAAGGAGGAAUAUUUGAAAGAGAAAGAAGAGUAUGAGAAAGAAAUGGAACGACUAGGAAAGCCGAUAUUGCGAAAAGCACGGGUUCAAAUCAAGGUAAAUACAUGGCAUGAUUCAUCAAACAUUUAAUGAAACUUAUAUUAGUCUAAUGCAUAUAUCUAAAAAAUGGUGUAGAAUCAGAAGUACACUAUCCGAUGCUCGCCAAAGCAGAUGUCAAGUUUAGUUUCACGAAUCGAUGAAACUAAGAAGCAGCAGAUUAGAGACAUAGGAUUUGGAGGGCUGCUAGACAUACAGUGUCACUGGAUUCCUAGUGGCAUAGCUACCUGGCUUGUUGACAACUUUAAUCCGACAUUGAGCAGUUUAAAUGUACAUGGAGAUGGUGUGCUACCUUUAACGUCAAAGGAUAUCAGUUUAAUCCUGGGGAUCCCGAACGAAGGUCCCGUUCCAGUUGAAGACACCGAUACAACCGAGGUUGGGGGAACUGGACCAAGUCGUAGGACAUACAAAUGGAAUAAGCUCCCAAAUGAGUUGGUAGCCAUGAAUGCAGGGGAAGAAUUCUUAAGACUAUUCAUGGCAUUUUCUUGUGGAUGUCUACUGGCUCCAACCACUAGAGCCGAGCACAAAAUAAAGGUUUGGAACUGUACGCAAUUGGUUGAUAGGGUAGCCAGAUUGAACUGGGCUGAGUAUGUGAGGAUCGUACUAUGCAAUAAGGUGUUAGAGGUGCAAAAGAAAAGUGAAAAGCAGCACCAAUACGUUGGCGGUUGUAUCUUCGUUCUGCUGGUAAGAUUAGAUAGUUGUAGUCAUGACGAAAAUAUGCUCUAAUUGUUACACAGUGCACCAGAGAGUCAAUUAGUUUUGCGUGCCUUCAUAACUACUGCCUAUAUUUCCACAUUUUAUCAAAUUCAGUGCGAUGGAUUGAUUAGAUUAUGCUCAAAUGAAUGCGUCUACGAUGAUGUUUUAACAGUGUGGUCAAGUUUAUCUACAGUUGAAUUAAUUACUGUAUUGUAUUGUAUUGCAGAUUCAUUAUCUUGAUCGAGUACAAAUACUGAAGCAUAAAGUGUCGAGGACUACUCCGCGAGCUAAGGCAUGGACAGAUGCUCUGAUCUCUGAAAGGGAUACACUUGAGAUUAAAAAUCUUGGAGCUUAUGGAAAAGGAAAACUGGUAAAAUGUUAUAUAUUAUUGAUCUCAUUUCAUAUAAAAGGUAGUGGUCUAUGUAUUGCGUGGCUUUUCUAUUGAAAUGGUUGGUUUAAUUUGUUGUUAAAGAUUCGACAAUAUGAUCCGGAAGAUAAUGAAUAUGAUGGGCAAAGUACUGAACUACCCCCUGAUUUGGUAGAAAUGCUGAUGAACAGCGGGCACGCCGAUAUCGGUGUAAGUGGGUCUAUUCCAUGAUUUAAUGAAAUUUGUUGUUUGAUUAGACGUAAUUACUACAUAUUGUAAGCAACGUUAUUGGUUAUUGAUAGGCCUACCAACUUCAUUCAUGUUGUAGUAUCAUGUUAAUAUGUGAUACCAAUCCCAAUAUUACAUCCCUGUCUAGAGAGUUAUUAAAAAUUAAGUCACAUGAAUGGAAAUACAGAAAUAUAGUGGUCUCUUGGCCAAUCAUGCUAUAAAUGUAUGAAGUUUCAAUGAUCUCGGGUGACCAUUUUAUUUUUUAGUAUAUAAGUUACAGUUAUAGAACCUAUGGCCGCAAUUCAAAUGUUAAAUUAAGAAUCUUUGCGUAAAUGUACUAUUGUAUAUGCCUGUAUUGUAUGAAAUUGUUGAGAGCAUGUGGCUCAUUUAUGGAUUAAUAAUUUCAUCAUCUAACUGCAGGCUGAGCUAAAUGAGCUGUAUAACAUUGCUGUUAGUAGCCAACGAAGGAUAUUGAAGAUUGCAGAAAUCCUCUCCUCUCAGCCGAGAGCAAAAGCUUCCACUUCUGGAACUGAAGCAUUGGACAAAGGAAAAAAACCUGUACAGGAGGACUAUACAAUGCACAAGAGUCCUGAUACCGAAGAAGAGGCUGAAUUUCAAUCUGCCGAAGAAGGGGCAGACGACGAGGAUGAUGAUGCUGAAGAAAUUGAUGCGGAAGGGUCUGAUGAAGACGAGCAUAAUGCAGCGCAGGCCUAGAAAGACGAUGCCAAUACGAGGACAAAUAUUGAAGGUAUCCAAGAUCCAGAGCUGAAUGAAGAUGUAAUGGACGUGGAGAAUCCAAUUCCUACCUCAUCAGUCGUACCCGAUAACAUCAGUCGCGGAUUAGAACAAGGGACCACCAUGACAACAACUGCGUAAGGAAGCAUUAUACAGCUUCAAGAGCAAAAGUAGGAGCAAUACAGGUCAAACGUCAUAGAACCUGCCGAAAAGGGUCAAUGUACGGUGCAACCACCUUUGCACGCCAGUGCAUCGACGUCACAUCUGCUUGAGCAAGAAAUGCCACGAAAGUUGCGAUCAUAUGGUCAAAAGCGGAACGGUUGGUAUACUGUUAUUAUUCAUAAGGUUGUAAUUCAUGUAGUAUGACUGUAACAUCUAUUAUCAUAUACGGUAACUGUGUUUAUACCAUCAUGAUGCAACGUACACGGGUCUGAACUCUGGUUUGUCAUCAUCGAAAACUUGUUAAGCAUACUGUCAUACCCUCUCCGAUAUAAAACACAUAUGAAGUUGAUGUAACAAAUGUAAUUAGGCAUAUUAUGAAAGUAUGACUUUAUUCAUGUUAAGAAGUUAGUGUGUUUCGAAAAAUGUUAGUUACAUUGCAGUGGAAAAAUGUUACAAAAUAGUUAUUGAAAAGUUACAGUGUGUUUAAAAAUUGUUACCAAAAAAUGUGGAAACUUAUAGAUUAAAAAUUAGUAUGUUUGAAGAAUGUUUACAGUGUGCUUGAAGUUUGUCACGAAAUAGUAACCUGAAAGUUACAGUUUGCUCUAUUGAAUACACAACUCCAUAUUCGCGGAUCGAUAGUCACGGAAUUUAUUUUACAUUAUUGUACAAUAGUUACCGGAAAGCUAUUUCAUAAUUAAUGCAGGUGAUGUAAUUGAAGAAUUUUAGUUACGAAGUGUUUGUAACUUGUUACAUGAGUGAUUAUUUAGACGAAAGUUGAAUGUUAUUGGAGACUGUUAGUCAUUAUAAUUAAUAGAUAAGUUACAGUUUCCAAAAUUCAAACAUAACUCCAUAUUAAAUGAUUGCUGUUUAAAUGUGUGUUUGUAGGUUGAUACUCACUUAUUUAUUGGUCAAAGUGCAUUUGAAAACUCUUAGAAACAGUUAGUUUAGCAUACUGUUAUGGUGUGAUUGAAGUCUGUUACAAAUUAGUUAUUGAGAAGUUAGUGUGUUUCAAAAUUUAUCACAACUGUUUGAAAAGUGUUAGUUACAGUGUGUUUGAAGAGUUGUACAAAUAGUUCUUAGGACAGUUACAUUGCAUUUGAAAAAUAAUCGAUUGGUGUUUGAUGACUGCUAAUUGCAUUGUGUCUGAAGAAUGAAGCAAAAUAUCUUAUAAUUUGUUAGACGACAACAAAUGAAUGUCAUAUGAAAUGCAUGUUAUUUGUCUUUUGUAGGAGGCCUUGACGUUGAGGUGAAGCACAAGUCUACACGUGCAACAAAGAAGAGCACUGUUCUGCGGUCAGCAGAGUUCAUUCUACCAGCACCUGUGACAGUUAGCCUAUACGAAAAAAAUGUGGCUGCAUAUGCAUGGGAUCCGGACCAAAAUCCCAAGUAAGAUUCUUGACAAAACUAUUAAUUCGAUCUUGUGAUCCAUUCACUACAAUAAGUACACGUGUGGUUCAUAAGAAGAUGGCAUAGAAAAACAGAUUGAAUAUGGAUGAGAUUGGAGUUCAUAUACAUUAGUCAAAUUUUCGUGUUUUGGAGUAGGAGUAAUAAUUAUUAGUAAAUCGUUUAAUUGUGUCCUGGAUGUGAUAGGGACAUACUUGUUCAAAUGUAUCAAUUUUCGCUGACUCGGCUUGACUUGAAGACAAAGGAAAAUGGCAUGCAUGUGUCUAAUCAGGUCAGUAGUUCAUUACUUUUAGUCAAAAAGUUUGAUUAUGUAUCUAUUGAUUGGAAUAGUCAUACGUAAACUCACCCAAGCAACACUCAAUUAUAUGUUUUGAUCACCAUUUGCCAUUGAUUAUGUGAUUGAUAUGUUUGCCCGUCUCAUGAAUUGGGGUGGAAGAACUGCCAAAAUUAGGAAGUUUGAACGCUACAUCGUAGAACCUGUUGCAGUUGUGAGUUUGAAAUUUGGAUUGCAUCCUACAGUUGUGUUAAAGAUGCUCAUCAUCAUAUCUGAAUUGGUAUUACGAUCCAACGCACCAUUAUUAAUGUCUUCUAUGCACCUUUCACUCGGCUAUGUUAUUGGUUGCAGGAAGGAAUUUUGAAAAUGGGAAAAUUCGACAAGCUCUCUGAUGCCAGCUUAUCUGCUAAGCUUCUAAAGCUCUUCAAGGUUCGCAAUAACAAUACGGGGGUUGAUCCUGCAAAUUGUGAUUGGGUAUGCAAUUAUCAGUUUUAAUCCAAAACUUCUUAUGUGACUGUUAAACAUUCAAAACGUAGUCAUACUUGGUUAUGUAGAAUGACCUGUCUGACCUUUUUCAUACCUCAUUUGGCACAGAUACUUGUGCCAGUAUGCAUAGAGAGGUCUUGGUUUGUCUACAGCUUUGGUGUCUCAGAGAAAGAAGUGCACGUGCUAGACCCUGAUAGCAGUCAAGCAAAGAGCAAAGACAUUAGCGUACUGAAUCGACUGGUAUGUUGGACAAAUUGCUAAAUGCAUUACACGACAUGACAGUGACACAUUAGUGGAUUGUAAUCAGUUUUACAUAAUCUUUAGUGAUAUAGAAACGUUCACUGGGUUUGGUCGUGGCGGCAAAGUUUGGCAAGGAAAUUGACUUCUCCAGUUUCGGAUUUUCUGUUGCCGAUGUCCCUCAUCACUCACCCAACAAAGUGUAAAUAGUUUGACUUCUCCCGUCAUUAUUGUUAGAGCGUGUACUAAGUUUUUUGUCCAACAUAUAUACCAUAACUGACUAAUGAGAAGACAACGUGACCAGGUGUGACAGUGGUGUUUUCGUUAUGACAUUCCUAGAGCAUUGGAGCGGAAGGUUGGCUGUUCGGCUUACAGAGGUAUUACAAUUGAUAUCCCUUUUCUCCCUACAAUCCAUCUGAAAUUGAUUUAAUGCUUGUUACCUCAGCACUCAACUAUGCUAAUUCCUACCUCUUGUGCUGAUAGGAAAAUGUUGGCAAGUAUCGAGUGCUGUACACAGCUCGAUUGUGUAACUCAGCGGAGAACUCAAAGUUUCCGGACAGCUUCACAAACCUGCAAGUACCUAAACGGGCGCAGUUGAAUGUUGGUAAUGCCUGAUUUAUAAGUAUUCAUGACUGGGAGAGAAGGAAAUUCACAAAAUUGCAUUUGACGUGCUUUUGUAUAUUAUUACAUGUGUAUUACAGCUUUUGGAUUGCUGUAACUAAUUUUAUUAUGGAGUCUACUCAGAAGGACCUUUCUUUUGAGACAGUAGUUUUGUUUUUCUGGAGACAUUAGCAUCAAUACUGAUUAGCAAUUUGUAUCAUGGUGCUGUUUAUUUAUCUUUUGUGGCCAUAAAUUCUGAAUUUAAUUCAGAUUUUCUAUUUACACUAGAAUAAUGUCAGUAAUAACAUUAACGGAGCAUUAAUUGGUUCAAUUGUGUCGUGAAUCUAUGGUUCAAAGAUGCUCGUCGUGACUCUGUGCCAACUAUACUAGAACCUACAUUGAACAAUGUGUAACUAUAGAACAAGCGCUCAAUUAGUUUGUUGCAAAAUUAGUUAUUGAAAAGUUACAGUUGAAAAUUAAUACAAAACUUCAUAUAUAACUGCUGGUAGUUACAAAGUGUUUGUAGGUUGUUAGUCAAGAAUUAUUGGGAAGUUACAGUGUUUUGUAUGACUGUAACAAAAUAGUUAUUUGGGAAGUUACAGUUUGAAAAUUAAUACAAAACUUCAUAUUUGAAAACUGUUAGUUACGAUGUGUUUGUCCGUUGUUACAAAAUAGUUUUGGGAAAGUUAUAGUGUGUUCGUUGAAUGUUACAGAAUAGUUAGUUGGGAAGUUGCAGAUUGAAAAUUAAUAUAAAACUCUAUAUUUGAAAACUGUUAAUUACAAAGUGUUUGUAGGUUGUUACAAAAUAGUUUUUUAAAAGUUACAGUGUGCUCGCUAACUAUUACAAAAUAGUUAGUUGGAAAGUUGCAGUUUGAAAAUUAAUACAAAAGUCCAUAUUUGAAGUCUGUUGGUUACGAAGUGUUUGUAAAUUGUUACAAAAUAGUUAUUGGGAAAUUACAGUAUGUUCGAAAACCGUUACAAAAUAGUUACUCGCAAGGGGAUAGUUUGAAAAUUUUUACAAAACUCCAUAUUUGAAAAUUGUUAGUUACGAAGUAUUUGUAGGUUGUUACAAAAUAGUUAUUGGGAAGUUGAAUGUUAUUAAAGACUAUUACAAAAUGCUUCAAUGGGAAGUUAGAGUGUGAAAAUUAAUACAAAACUCCAUGUUUGAUGAUUGCAUGCUACAGUGUGCUUAUAGGUUGUUACAAAAUAGUUAUUGUGACAAAUGACGAAUGGCAUGAAAAUAAAAUAGUUUAUUUGAAGAUACUCGAAAAUGGCAUGCAUGUGUCGAAUCGGGUUAGUAGUUUAUUACAUUUAUUCAAAAAGUUUGAUUAUCAAUUUAUUUAUUGGAUUAGUGAUACGUAAACCCAAUUGUAAUAGUGAAUUACAUGUUUUGGGUUUUGUGUAUGUUUUCAAAAAACAUGUUACUUAUUCUAUACUUACUAAUUCUCCAGAAUUUAGUUACUAGCUUAUAUCGUUUCUUGCCACAUAUUAACUCCCACCUAUGUGUUGGUCCGUGUUAGCUCAUGAUCGACACACAACCAUUAAUUCAACAGAAGGUUAAAACACUAAAGCUUAUGUGACCCAAAAGGAGUUUUAGAUCGUUCAAAUGUCUUCAUCGAGCAAUUUUGGUGGCGGAUCUACUGAGUUAAGGUACCAAUAUCGGUACUGCCACUGCGGAAAAAGGGCUGGGCUGAAGAUCGUGGAGUCACAGAAACCAACGAAGGGGUUGCUGUACUUCUAUUGUGAAGGAAAAACUUGUGCUUUUUUCGCUUGGUGUCUUCCAAUAGGGAGGAAUCAUGAGCAAGUUCAGGCUAACUACUGCCCUCCCUCACCGAAUCGACAAGCAAUAAGUAGAGACAGCUCCUUCGACAGUCCCGGAACAGUGCAAAAUGAACCAAACUCUUUCCCGUAUCAUGUGCAUCGAAUCGAACAACAUAUUCGACAAAUGAAAACCUUCAUGAUGAUAUCGGUAGCGGUCGCCUUUCUGUUGCUCCUAAUAGCAAUUUUUCGCUGACAGCACUUUCAAUUUUUCGCUCUAGUUGGAUAUAAACUUCGCCUGUAGUUUGUCGGAGAUGUAUCCUUCAUAGGCAAAGUUACACUGACAUUCUUGUACUGUUGACUUUCCAUUUUGGCAGGUGAUCUAGAAGAUAGAGUAAACAAUAGAUGCAGUCGUAUAGUUGUAUGAAACUGGUGAAGUCACACUAUUAGUUUUUUGUGGAGUUAUAUGAUUGCUCUUUUAUCUGAAAUCACCUGUGUUGUUCAAUUGUUUUGUGUUAAUGACUCCAACUAAUUGAAACUAUUAAUUGUAUAAUGAUGCACAAAUGGUUACCUUAAUUGUAAAUUGUUAUAAUUCGUACGUUCUUACUUACAGCUUUGUUCGUCCUAAGUUACAACAUUCAGUGAAUUAGUUGUAAAAUUGAAAAUCUUUAAUAAAGCAUCAGCAGCAGAAGGAGGUGCUUAUUCAGGUACUAUCACAUUGUGGGUCAUUGAAUGACCAAGGCCAUUCAGUUUUACACAUCUGACUCUGGGCCAAAAAACUGACAUUCAUUGUGAGAUUUUGUCCACAAUAUUUUGCGUAUUACUGUGUAUGCACAGUGUCAAAAUUAAGGUCACUAAUGUGUAACUCAGUAUUCACAUCGGUACCCUUAAUGUUGCAAUACAGGUCUUACCAUGAUAAAAAUUGCCCAAUUGGUAUUUUAUUUUCUGAUGCUGAUUAGUGACACGACGUAACACUUAUUAUUUUAUGUAUCGAUACUAAAAAUAUAGUUCAACAAAUUUUGUCCAUACGAUUGACAAACUGUUCAUAUAUUGUUACAAUUCGUAAGUUAUUAUUUACCUCUUUGUUCGUUCUGAGUUACAACAUACAUAAAAUUUCUGGUCGAAUUUGAAAUCUCCUAUAGAGCAUUGGAGCAGAAGGAGGUACGAACCGCUCAUAGAGGUAGUAAAUUUGGGUCAUACACUGACCAAGGUCAUAGAGUGUUACACAUCUGACUCUUGGCCAAGAAACUGUUGCAUAAUUUGGGCUGUCAUACCUCCCUGUGACAGUGUAACUGUGCAUGCACACAGUGAAAUGUACAUGAAUCUAAGGUGUAACUCUGUAUCCACGUGACUCUUAAAAGUUGGUGGACAGGACCAAAACAUGAUAAAAGCUGCAAACAUGUGUUGAAGUCUGUAAACGAUUGGCAACAGCACGUAACACGUAUAUUCACUGUCGGUACAACAAAUCUGGCCUGGAAACGUAACAAAACUUAUCCGACAUGGUUCAGGCACUGCAUGCGGGUCUACAGUCUCUUCUCCCGUGAUGUACUAGUUGCCCUCAUAUGCGUUCGUGAAGAUCUCACUAUUUUAAUGAGAUGUUCGAGAAAGUCUCGCUACGCAAUGUUUUGGGGUUCGAAACAAUCAUCGUAACUAUUCUCAAUACAUACUUAAUAAAGUGUCUAAGAAAUUUAAUGUGUCAGUGGGAGGAAUUAUCGUUUCUGCCAAGGGCAAUACCACAAACAAAAGAAGACGAAAGGUUCAUCGAACAUUAACUAGUUGUAUUAUCAUUAGUUGUAAUAUCGGGGAAUAUCUAGUUGGAAUAUUAUUCAAUUUUAAAUAGAGCAGACGAAAAGCUGCUGAUUGCAAAUUCAUUAGUUAUAAUAAAUUGUAACAUACACCUAACCGGUUGUAACGCAAUCCGUACAUAGUGAAACGUACACGUCACUGAUGUGUAACUGUUUAUCCACAUGACCCUUGAUAUUGGUGUAUAGGUCAUUUCAUGAGCCAGGUGCAUAAUUUGUUUUAAUGUGUGAACAGAUUUGACUCAAUUCAAUGGCAUGCAUCGAACUCUACAGCUUCCACUGCCACGACAAAAUUGUUUGGUCUGGAAUGCGUUGUCCAGUGAUAUUUUACUACAUUGUGAGGGUCCUGCGGACUAUAAAAGGGCGCGGUUGCAGUAGUAUAUCCCUCAACAACAAAGAUUUUUCCGUCCACCUUUCACUACUACACAAACAUUUUUCAUUUUCAAUAACUUCACACUUCCUAUUUCAUUCUACUGAAGGGUGGCAAUGAACCCGUGCAUGAAAUUUAUUAUUAGUAUUUUUCAACCCUCCUCUAACCUCAAUUGCAGUGUCAUCAAUAGAGGGUUCACACAGAAAUCAAGCUCUUGGGUGCCAAAUAGCAGCCAGUAGGUUGCAUGAUGUUCAAGAAGAUCUCGCUAAUUUAAUGAGAUGUUCGAGAAGGCCUCACUACAUCAAUUGUUUUGGGGUUCGAAUCGACCAUCUCUAUGUUCUCAAUAGACACUUACUAAAGUGUCUAAGAGAUUAUAUGUGUUAGAGGGCCGGACUUAUUGUUUGUGCCAAGGGCAAUUGCGCACACGAGAGAAGAGGAAAGGUUCAUCGGAUAUUAACUAGUUGUAGUAUCACUAGUUGUAAUAUCAGGGAAUUUCUAGUUGUAAUAUCAGUAGUUUUAACUAGAUAAGACGAAAAACUGCCGUUUCCAUAUUCAUUAGUUGUAAUGAAUUGUAACAUAUACAUAACUGGUUGUAACUCAACAUGUACAUGGAGUAAUCAAAAUUUGUUGCAUUUUAAAUAUUAGUUACCCUACUUUCAAAUUACUUGUCCCAACGAAGUAUCAUGUUCGUCUGCGAAACUGUUACUUAUUAUGUGGUCAUGUGGAACCAAGCCAAGCCGCCAAUUGUAAGUUCGUUUCUGUACUGAAGGAGUAAUACCUAUUGAAGUGCCUGUAAUACUAUCUGUAAUGCUUAUCGUUAAUACAAUUGUAAACAAAUUGUCUAAAUUUUAACAUAUAGGCAAAUGACAAGGUGCCUGUACAAGAACAUCAAUAAGCGGUAACAGCUUAUUAACGUCCUGUAAUUUAUGUAAAUACUGGUGGUAACUGCUUGUUACACUUGAAAAGUAAGGUGACUGACGAAUAAUUGGGUAUUCACCUGACCCAAUUGUUGUUGGAGUACAGGUCAUGAUCGAAUCAAAUUAAACAAUUAUUUCAUCCACACACUAUACAUUUGACUAAAUGUUGAGUCUAUUGUCUCGUUAAUAGGUGGUUGCCAUGCCUUCAUGUACUCACCCAGGAGUACUAUCCCGUGGAGAACAACAUGAAAUGACAUAGGAAGCAGUUGGUCAAGUUGUCAGAAGAAACCAUUUACUAUGCAUGGUCUUAAAUAGGUGCUCUGUUAAAAAUUUCUACCUUUUUUUUUCUCCCACCUAAUUCUUUAUCAGUAGAUCCUUCCUUUCAUCCAACCAAAAAGCAGUAGGUAUUAGCAUAGUCAUGCAAUCCACAAAUGAAGGAUCUCAUACAAGCUCACCAUCAAAUGUUCGGCAAAAAAGACGGAAAGUAUCGUUAGAUCCAACAAAUGCCAUAAGCAAGUAUGAAACACCAGAUGGGAGGAUUUUAUAUGGUACCAAACGCGAGUUCAGGAACGCUCCACUUAACACCAACAACUCUUUGGGACUAGCUGGUCACAUUUUUAAAAAUACGGUCAAUGAUCAUCUACCGUCUGGCUAUUUCGUUAUGGACCAUGAACCCAUAUGGGAGCCUGUUCGUGAGCGAAGAAUGGAAUUAGAGGUAUUUUGUCGCUGGCAUGGCAUCCGCAUCCCGAGAACAAGGUCAGCGGAUCUUGUUAUAGGACCACAAGCCAAUGAUGCAAGCGUAUUACAUAGACUACAGCGAGAAGUUAUGCAGAUGGAGCGUAGGCUUCACAGGUUCCAUGAGAUCUAGGCCGCAAAAGGACAUGGUAUGGUUCAACACAUUUUAGCAGAUCCCAUGCUUAUAUCGGAUCCGGACCUAUCUGACUUUACUGAAUCAAGCGACGAUGACUUUCAAAGGUACAUACCCCACUGUUUAAUGCAUGACGGCGUUCCCAGGUGUUGUAUGGGAUACAACUGAUAACAAGGGAUGUAGUCCAAUGUUCAUCAGGGUAGCGAUAAAACUAUACUCAUUAUAAUCUCUACUCCCACAAAUUGUUUACCAUAUUUGGAUAUUAGUGAUGCCUGUUAAACAGUCGUAACUAGUUGUAAUGCAACAGUAACAUAUCCCUUACUGGUUGUAACCCAUUGUGUACUGUUCGUUCUUCCUUUUUGUGACAUUGUAAAACUUCGUUUUAACGUUACAAAUUAAUUCUCCAAGGAAUCAUUUUCUUAUGCGCACCUAUUACCAACAUGUGGUCGUGACCUGGCUUGACCAUAAUUCAAUUAACCUAAAAACUUGUACCUAAUCCUUGUAAUACCAAUUGAUGUGCCUGUGAUACAUCAUGUCAAUGGGGCGCUAAAUUCGUCAAUCGAUACAAAACAAAUGGCCUAAAUGAUAAUAUUUUAAUAAAAAUAGCCCAAUAAUAAUUCGAAUUUAGCAUCGUAACAAAAUCAAGACAAUUUAUACUUUAAACUGUGUUAUCUUAUACAUCGUACCUUUGGCGGUGCGAUCUAUGCCAAUAAAUAUGUUAUUAAGGUAUGCAAUUGAAUGUAGUAGAAUGGUAUACAUAUCACGACAGCCAUUCAACUGUUAUGGUCGAUUUAGUGAAAAAUAUCCGAUCACAAAAAACGCGUUCAAUUCUAUUGUAAAAUUGUUACUUCAAUUUUCUACCAACUUUAUAAUUUCCUAACAAUUUUAUAUAACCCAAUACAAACUAUUGAUGAUUAGUACCACUAGAUGUGAUUACAAUUGUAAUCCACUUGUCUAAAUUUGAAAAGAGUGAAAUAUCAAUGGUGCCUGUACAACCUCGUCAAUAAGUUGUAACACCCUAUUCACUGCUUGUAACACGUACAUAUGCAGUAUUCCUAAGUUGGGACAACCACUUAAUGUUUCGUUCAAAAAAUAUAGUUACACAUCAUUCAUCAAUCUCAUUAUCGGGGGAGGCGACGUCAACGCGAAGUUGCAAUCCCCGGGUGUUAUUUCUUCCCUGAAAUGCGUAACGAUGAUGAAUCAGCAAUAUUAUUAAUGAAACAUACGAUUAAUGAUAUACGAUGUCCAAGCCUCCAAUUAACAACAGUACAUAAAUAUGUGCUACAACGAUAAAAGUUUAUCACUUGGGGUGAAGGUGCAAAUACAUGAUAUGCAUCAACAUCACAGUGUGUUAAAAGUGCUGCACGCUCCUCCUAUAUUACAUAGUAUAAGUAAUCGACUGUCAACAAAUCAUUACCAAUGCCUAUAUUGCUCACUUAUAAAGUUAAAUUGGACUAGACAUUAUAAUGAAAAUGAUAUAUCAGACCAUUAAGACAUCUCUGACAGAGUUAUACUUGGAAAAAAUAGAAAAUCUGGGAUGCAUCCAUUCUGUAGGGACACUUGUAGGAGGCUCCUGAUUAGCCAAACGGUGAACCUUCGAAUAAUAAAAAAUAAUAUGUUAUUAAAGCGAGCAUACGUUAACUACAUAAUUUGCAUGAUUUGACAGCUUUCGGAUGCCCACCAUUACAAUACUAUAAAAAAGGGUUAAUAUCAGAAACCUCCCUUGAGGUUUCUUCUAAUCACACCUAGAACCCCUCAUGUUUUCGAAAUCACACAUAGCACCCCUGGAAUGACAACUUUGGUAUCAUUGUCCGCCCCUCAUUAUUUUUGUUCCACUUUUACCCUCCUUGUGAACUCUAUUUAUGUAGAGUUAAUUUCGAAAACCUCCCUUGAGGUUUUCCCUAAAUUAUGUAAAACUAUUAUGUAAUUAUGUAAUAUUUUUUGUACAAAGUGUAAUUCUAAUUGAACUAUUUGUAAAAUUUAUCAACACAAAUACGAUUAUUACAUAUUGGACUCAUAUGUACAAUAACAACUUAUCAGACUUCUAUUGUAAUGAUGUACAAGAAAUUUACAUAAAAUUAUAAAAUGUUCAAAAAAUGUUACACGAUUUAGGGAUGGUUGAUCUAACAAUUGUUCAUAUCCCACUCCCUAAUAUUAAAUAGCUAUAGAGUUUCCAGUGAUGUUGACUUUUGGCAAUGGACAUAGUGCCAUUGCCAAAAUUGCAAUUUCUAAGUGAAUAAUAACAUAAUCUAAAAGUAGUUUAAAGAUGAUGGGAAUUCACGAGUAUAUAGCAUUAGCAAUCCAUUUUUACUUGAUAAUAGGGUAUCGCAAUAUUAAUAACUUACAAACUCCAUUCGACUAGGAUGCACAAAAAACUAUUUAUACGACCUCAUUUUCAUAAAAAUGGAAGAGCAAGUUGAUUUACAACUACAAUCACAUAUUGAAACUAUUGCUGCCAUUAUGACAAUCCAUAGUCACAUUUUUUUUUAUCACCGUUCAGAUCAAUGUAACAUUUUUUAAACAAUGUGUAACUUUAUGUGAAUUAUUUGUAAAACUUAAUUACAGAAAUGCAAUCUAUUAUAAAGAUGUACAAGAAGCUUACAUAAAAUUACAAAAUGUUCAAAACAUGUUACACUGCUUAAGAACGAUUUUGUAGUGUUACCUUUGAGUGGAGGGAUGUGAGUUACAUAAAUAGAGUUCACAAGGAGGGUAAAAGUGGAACAAAAAUAAUGAGGGGCGGACAAUGAUACCAAAGUUGUCAUUCCAGGGGUGCUAAGUGUGAUUUCGAAAACAUGAGGGGUUCUAGGUGUGAUUAGAAGAAACCUCAAGGGAGGUUUCUGAUAUUAACCCUAAAAAAAAGGUAGCUCUACUACACGAAUAAGAAGGUCUUUAUUUUAACUACUGAAUAUAUACAUACCGUUUCACUUUCAUCGAUAUUCGGAGCAAUAGCGUUUGGAGGGCCAUUCACUGUCUGGCUCAUUGAAUGCGUCUACGAGUUUCGUAUGGACCAAAUCAUUGUAUAAGACAAACAAAUAGGUAUAUCAGGAGAGAUGACAGCCGUAACAACAUUAUCACACAAUGUAAGAUCAAUGUAACUAUUUAUGCUGUUAGAAACAUCCAAAUAAAAGUAACAGUCAUGUCCGUUUUAUACUAACCGAAACAGAGUCAGUAGAUGAACGGCAUCCCAUAAACAUGUAUUCCUCAUAUGAAACCGAUGUCGGCUCCGAUUCUAAGGCCUACAGUAUUGACACAGCAAUAAUAUUAUUUCAUAAUGAAUGAUACCUAAACUUUAGUUAAUAGCAUAACGAUAACUUAGUUUUAGCAUAAAUGUUCCCCGAGUACCAAAAUUUGAUCCAUACCGUAGUCUGUGUAGUCCUUGAUAAUCCAGAUUUUCUUUUUACUCUGUCAAAUUUAUCGAUCCAACUUCGCAUCACUCUACCUUUCUUCCCACCACCUCGUUUUUUAAUGCCUCUUGCGACUACUGCCUCCCCCAUUUCAUUCACAAUUUCAAUUUUAUCCCGUUCCUCCAUAUUUAGAUUUUUUUUGAUUUUGCAAAGGUUGUUCUUCACUUUCUGAGAGGAGGAGCUCAACUCUCUUUGCCAAAUCGGAUAUGAUAGUGAUUGCUACUUUGCUGGUGUCCUCCGACAUUGCUGCUCGAGUUGCGACCUUAAUCAUGGAUGGAGCGAGCUCCCGAUAACGAGUUGAAAUCAUUAUUUUAGGAUCAGCCACAACUUCCCGUCUUCGCCGAUCAAAACAGUCUCCAGCCCGAGCUCUUUUUGUCCAUCGCCUCUUAAUGUAUUCAGGAGGAAUUAUUUUUAUGCCCACAGUAUCAAACACCUUCAACGCGUGCCCACAUAAAAUGCCUUCAUUCUCGUAUUUUUUGCAACUACAACGUACACUUAGAUCAUUCCGAUUGAAUACCACUAUUCUUUCAGGUCCUCCAUUAUACCUCAUGACCGCAAACUCCACAAUCAUCGCUGCAUCUUGCUGUCUCAAUAUAACCAUAGCUGUUGACUCGCCAUAUUCAUUUUGGAAUGCAACAAAUACUGUUGGUGAAUACGUCUCUGAUGCAUGCACAAGCAUAGGUGUUUGCCUUAACCCGACCAUGGGGAGCUUUUGCCUCAUUUCAUAUUCUGCGAUCAGUUCAUUAUGUUUCUUUUCAUCAACCACCCGAUUGAAAUGUCUAAAGAACUGCACAAGGUCAUGAUCCAGUUUCAAAUGAUUUUUAAUUGCUGCAUUUAGGCUUUCGCUAAGUUGGGUGCUUCACAUUCCCGCGGUCCAUCUUUCUUUCAUCAUGCACCUUGCCCAUUUAUCAUGAAUUCUAUACAACCCGGAGAGCCAUUCAUUAUUUUCAAGAUUGUGUUUCUUCACCAUCGCCUCCCACACCCUAUUGAAUUGUUCCACUUCUUCAAACUCAUACAUGCAUGCACCAAACAUGUAUGGAAGAUCACUAUUUUCCUUGUAGUGAUUGCCAAAAUGUUUCAUAAAAUUACGCCUUAUGUGAAACGUACAUAGACCGUGAAAUGUUUCAGGCAUAACAACUGAAAGAGCGGCUGCCAUGACAUGAUCUUGGUCGGUUAGUAUGGUACUUGGACGCUUUCCGCACAUUGCUUCUAGAAAUGUACCAAACACCCAUUUGAAAGAAUCUAUAGUCUCAUCAUACAUAAGGGCAGCACCGAAUAUCACAAUUUGCCUAUGUUGGUUAAAACCCACAAACACUCCAAGUGGCCGGUAUUCUUUAUUUGUUUUGUAGGUUGUGUCGAAUGUGACUACGUCUCCAAAAAAUUUGUAGUCAAUUAACAUUCCUGCAUCAACCCAAAAGAUAUUCGUUAUCUGCUCUUCACAGUCCAGCUGUACGGCAUGAAAAAAUGAUGGAUUCUCGAGUGUUUGCUCUUGAAAAUAAUUCAGCAUGCUACCUGCUUCUCCAUAUUUCAAACUCCUUUCCCGUCGAGUACGAAGAUAUCGUUUCAGGUCUUCCCGAGUAUAUCCCACAUUUCCCAUCCCACCUGCCUCCUUUCCCAUAAGCUCAUGACUCUGUUUCAAUGAAAGCCCAGCGUCCUCGCUUAUUUCAGCUUGGAAUCCUUGAGUCUCGCUCACUUUUCUUUGUGAUGGCAUCAUGUGCGCACAUUGAGCAAUGUGCAACUCAUGGUUAUGCUCUAAGACAAGGUCAUGCACAUGGUACUUCAUUGUUCCUCUAAACAACACGAUAACCAUUUUAGCUCCACACCCUAUUUUCGUCGGCGCUCGUGUCCUCUUUGGCAUCACAUCACCUUCGUACUUGCGCUUUACACCUUCCUUGCAGCAACUAUAUCUCCUAGACAUGAUCAUGCCGUCUUUGUCUUUAUUCAGAUAGUCUUUACGUACACUAAAACCCAUUUUAAAGGCAUAUUUGUUGUAAAACUGGUACGCAUCCUCUUCGCUGUUGAACUCCAUUCCUAACUCAGGGGUCCCAUCUUCUGCCAAUUUGCUGCAAUCCAUUACUUCUGAUCCUGCCAAUUAUGCAUCAAACACCCUAAUUUGCAACACUUCAUGAAUAGUAUGUACAUAAACGACAACAUAUAUGUAUAUUACCAUUCAUAAUGUGUUAUGAAUCAUACAUUACCAAAUUCUAUUAUUACGCUAUCAAUAUGAUUAAUGAUUCACAUCACCUUACUUUUACUCUAAGACAAUCUGUGUACAAAUACAACUCCAUGUACACUAACUUAUACGGAUUGUAAUGUAUUGGUCACACGAUGUAAGUCUAUUUUAACUGUAUAUACAUCCACGCUGGUCAUUAUAUUUUGAUUCUAGAUUCUUUAGCUCAUUGGACCUUAUGUCAUUCAUUAAUGACAACCGCAUAAAAUAGACUAAAUAGUCUUUGUGUUUAUUUAAAUAGUCUUUGCGUACACUAAAUCCCAUUUUAAAGGCAUAUUUGUUGUAAAACUUGUACGCAUCCUCUUCCAUGUUGAACUCCAUUCCUAACUCAUGAGUCCCAUCUUCUGCCAAUUUCUCUACAAUUCAUUACUUCUGCUCCUACCAAUUAUGCAUCCAACACCAUAAUUUACAAUAGUUCAUGAAUAGUAUGUAUGUAAACGACAACAUAAGUGUAUUACCGUUUAUAAUAUGUUAUGUUACACACAUUACUCGUAUACCAAAUUCUAUUAUUACUCCCAUCGAUAUGAUUAAUGAUUCACAUCACUUUACUUUUACUCUAAUACAAUGGCAUUAUCUAUGUACAAAUAUAACUCCAUGUACACUAACUUAUACGGAUUGUAAUGUGUUUUUCACUCCAUGUAAGUCUAUUUUAACUAUAUGUACAUCCACUCUGGUGAUUAUAUUUAAGUUCUAGGUACUUUGUUUCAUUGGACGUUAUGUAAUUCGUUACUGACAAUCGCCUAAGCCAAUUCCUGUGCAUUUUCUACUAUUUCUACAUUUUCAGGGCCAAACAAGCAUUUUUUACUCAUUCUAAUACAUUUCUUACAUCAUGUAAUUUACUUACAAAACCAGGUACAUCUAUUUAUUAUUCACAUAUAUCUUUUCCUCUGCUUUUCCUAGGUCAAACCCCAGACCUCCAUUUUAUACACACUGCAUACUCAACAGAGGGGCAAACUAAGAUUGCGUGAUGACCAUGGACCAACUAGUGGAUGCACAAAGAUUGUAAUAGGGUGGUUAUAACCUGUAACUUAUCUACAGCAGCAUGUACAUUCAUUCACUUGUUAAAUAGUUCAUCACUGCAAAACUGCACGCUCACACACACACAUACAGUACACAUUGACUAUUCUUCUAUUAUCUUCAUAUUAUGUCUUUACUGAAUCUAACAUUCAGAAAAGUUGCUGGUAUAAGAUUCACAAAGUUGUUGAUAUGGUUGAAUCAUGUUACCUUGGCCCGUUGAGAGCUUUUUGUUUCACCGAAUGCCCUUAUGCACAGUUGCUUCUGCUAUUAAGUUGCACAAAAAAUGGUGGGCAACGUCAGAUAUUGAAUUUCCUCUUUAAUUCGCUUCUACCUUGCCGGCUGUCUUGCCCGCAUUGCUCAUACAAUUUCUGAAGACAUCGUUGGCCUUCUUUUACAGCAUUCUAACUGUUUGCCUUCUUCCUUCUUCUUCUGAUGCCAUAACCCAACUCUUUCCACCUAAUUUCACGUCAGCCAAGCAACAAUGACACACCCAGCUUGCUUUCUUCUCUCGGUUUUGGUUUGUGCGGCUAAUUGAAAUUUUGAAAAUGAAGUUCAAAAUUUCAAUUCUUCCGUUUAGAGGAAACGGAGUCCGUCAAUCUUAUUUUUUUCCUCUCGUCAAACGGUGACGUUUUUUUCCUUCAAAACAACCAGUUGACGUGGCUUAUUUUGCUCCAUUCCUUGAAGCUUGUGAGGGGACCGUUCAGGAGCGGUCCUCAGACCGCUCCUGCCCUGUAUCCUUCGGACAAGGGGCUGGGGCGGUUGCCAGACAACCGCUUAUAAACUUUUCAUGGCCAAGAUGUGGUGAGCCAUCAUCAACGGCCAAAACAAAGCCACGUCACAAAGUUAUAUGAGCUGAAGAAGACGGCGUCGUUUUAUUGAAUGGCAAAUAAAAAAAUAAAAAUUGUAGAAACGGAUGGAGCAUCAUCGUCAAACGGCGUCAAAUUUAUCCCGCCCAAAUAAUUAAUGAAGAGUUCCUUUUUUAUCAAAAAUCCCCAUUUCACUUUCCCCAUUUCCCAAACCCUUUUCCCGUUGUCUGCUAAUGCAAAAGAUCACUCCACAAAACAACUUCCAUUUCACUCCACAAAAUCACUCCCAUUUCACUCCCCGUUGUCUGCUAAUUUCCAAAACAACUAUCUGAAUUCGUCCUAAAGAAGACCCACGGUGUAUUUUGGAGGAGGAGAAACUGCAUAAUCCAAGGUAAGAUGGAAUCUUUUACACUGUCUGCUCCUAUGUUGCCCUUGUAAUAUACCGACAACAUUGAUACUCUUCAUUUUUUUGACAUUUUUUUUAGUUCACUCUCUGUAUUUUCAUUGUUACUAGAUUACGAACUAGUAAUUUCGUUGUUACUAGUCCGUAAUUCAUUGUUACUAGAUUACUAGAUUACGAACUAGUAAUUUCAUUGUUACUAGUCCGUAAUUCAUUGUUACUAGAUUACGAACUAGUAAUUUCAUUGUUACUAGUUCGUAAUCAGUAAUAAUUUCGUUGUUAACCAGAAAUUAAAGGUUCGUAAUGUCUUCUUCCUGAUUUUUUAUUUUUAUCUUGUAACAAACUAGUAAUUUCUCCUGUAAUGUCUCCAUUUUCACCAGGGUUUUUCUUUGCCCCUCUCAAUUAUGUUGAUUGAACUUUUCAAUUUUAAUGUCAAUUUUUUGCUGCCUAAGUUGCUGUGGUUUAAUUUCGAUUUUAAUUAAUUUAUGUAAUUGCAAAAUUAUUGAAAAUCUAGUAAUCAGUCCAAAGAACCCGCAAUUUUAGAAGAACGAAAGGAAAAGAUGAGAAAUUGUCAAAAAAAAAAUCUGAUCCUGUUUUGUUCAGUUUUGCAUUAUAUUCUGUUCAAGGUAAUUGUAAGUUUUUUUUUCUUUUGGCAAUCAUGAUAUGCUAAAAUAUUUGGUUUUUUUGCCUAUUGAUGGGCAAGCUGAAUUUAAGGUUUCCAGAAGCUCGAAAAAUUUCUUUUGCCUUUGCUAUUGUUGUCUUGUUCAUUAAAAUUUAAAUUUUUCGAGUAGUUGAUUCAAUCAACUUAAACUCUAUUUAAAACCAUCGUGGCUUGAGCCCAAAAUUAUAACUGAAGAUGCAGAAAGACAAUGAAAAUGAGAACUUAAGCUGCAUUGCUAUCAUUUUCAGGAUGGUGAUGCUGUGCUAAGGUUUUCAAAGCCAAAUAAGUAUUGGGUUGAAAGCUCGUAGAAAAGGGUAAGUUUUUGUGCUUAAAUUUCUCAGGCAUGAGCUUGCUGAGAAAGGCUGAUGUUGUGGACUUUAUCUAGGUAGAUGAUUACUUAUUUUUUUGUGCAAAGCAGUUAGUGAAAGUGUUUUCAAUUAGGAGAAGUUUUGCUUUUCUUUUAUCAGUUGUGGGAAAAUUUGUUUCAAAUCAUUAAAACAUUUUAAACAUGAUAAUCUUGGCCACCAUAUCUUAGCAUAUGUCCUUAUAUUUCCUGAAACUAUAUUCUUCGUUAUGUACAGAAUAAGGUUUAUGUGGGUCUAAUAUCUAAGAGUUUGAGAAUACUCAAAUUCUACAUAGAUAUAUAUGCCUAAUAUCAUUGUAGCAAGACUGAGUAGCCUGUUGGUCCAUCACAUUAAUGAUAUUUACAUUGAUCUUGUUGAAGGUGAAUGUUGGCUUCUGAGUGGAGUAUUGAAUUGUUGAUGCUAAGUUGUGAUAUAAUAAAGCCACUUAGGACUCAGAUUUCUGAAGUAAAAUCUUCAUUAAAAGAAAUUAUAGUAACAUAAAGGCGGUGCUUUUUUGUUUUCAGUGAUCACUCCAUGGCUAUGACACAGUUUCAGCAAAUAUAGCUCCUGGUUCUAUUUGUUAGAUAAAGGAUUACUAGAUGGAGGGGAUAGGCGGAACAUCCUAUGUGGUUAUAAUAUGGGCCUCGAGUUGUACACUAGUAAUCGUUUAGAGCACUGUUUAUUAUAUUUUGACUUGCAUCUGAUUUGUGUAGUAACAGAAAGUUUGAUAUCACUUGUAAAGUAGGUGACUUUAAUGUUCAAUAUGGAUAACUUAUACAUGUUUCUUUCCAAAAUUUCCAGAUAGCCCUUUGGAAUUAUCUAUACCUAAUUGAAUAUGGUAGGCAUGGACAUAACACUUUAACCUUAUUUUAUUAUGUGUGGUGAAGAUGUGACUUAUUUGCAGUAUGUGCAUGUGUAUUUGUUUCCCAGGAACAUCUGGGCAGCUGCGUUCUUAACUGCCCCUGCCCUGGGUGUUUUGUCAUAUAAAAGAAGACUAGGCAAGGUUUUCAAACUCUCAAGAAAUAAACUUGUUUGGGUACUUGAAAUAUUAAGUUUUGAACUUUAUGCAUGUAUGUUUCUUUGCAUUUCUUAUUUUGUAUACAAACUAUCUAGGGAUGUCUUCAUUGAUAUCUAUAAUAUAAGUGUAUUAUGUUCAGUCAAAGUGGACGUGAUGGGAAGAAAAAAGGGGGGGAGGGGUGAGUUGAUUGCAUAAUUUGGAAACUUCAAGCCUAAUGCUGCAAAGGAAUCGGUAAGAGUAGGUCCAAUGAUUUGUUUUUGUAUUUGUACCAUCAGAUUACAAGCCAGUCUGAAUGGAUACCAAGGAUCUAUAUGAUAACUAUACAUGUUUAAGGCAGGGGAUUCCUCUCUUCCCUUUUUAUCCAUUCUAUUGAUGGAAGUAUCAUGCAACAUAGUGCAAAAGUUGAGUAACUGGGAAGGAUUGAGGGCUUCAUGGUGGCAAAGAGUAUGGAAGGGUGAUGUUAUGCAUCAUUGCAAUCCCUUUCUCUUCUUUAUAAGUGUGUUCAGGUUCAUAAUGCACUAUGAUAAUGGUUACAUUUAGUGAAGAUGAUACAUCUAAUGUCUUAGCUGAUAAUUGGGUUCUUAAGUUGGUAAACUAGCUAUAUGUCUAGUGUCACAGUUUGAUGUCUCUAGCUUUACCCCCCCAGUGGCUAUCCCAUUGAAGAAGUCAUUGCUAGUGAACUCAAUGUUCUUAGUGUUUCCUUUUUUCUUUUUCCAUCCACUUUUCGUACUUGCCUUUUUAUUUUCUAAAUGAUAUCUACAAGUGCUUGGUAUGAGAUUUUCAGCUGACAGUUUAUUUGUAGAAUACAAAUACUAAAGGAUGGCGCUCUUGAAUCUUUAACUUUCCACUUAAUUUUACUGUUACCAAGACAGGAUAUGAUGUUCAAUUUAAGAAACUGUUUGCUUUUAGAUUCUUGUCUAAGAACACUUUCUUGUGUUUAUCAUAAAAACAUUUUGAAUUUCAUUUGAGCACUUUUUUUCGUAGUAUGUACCGUGCGCUGGAGAUACAGUUCUUGGGAUUGUGGUAGAUUCUAGAUCAGAUGUAAGCACUCCAUAUUUCUUUUGUUUGGCUUUCAUUAAACCUGCAUUUAUCUUGUCAGUGAAAUUUACUCUUUCCUCUCUUCCCUAAACUUGUUGUAGAAGUUUUGUUUUAUGAGAAAAUAAGCUAAUGAGCCAAAACACAUCCAGUUUUAGGUUCAUAAUCAUCAGGCAAUUCUAUUUAUUUCCUCUUUCCUGAAAUAUUCUUCUCCUAGUUUCCUGCCACAUAUUAUUAUGAUCACAAUCAGAAAAAUUUUGCUUCUACAAACAUCUAGAGAAACAAUAUGAUAAAUAAGAGGGUGCCGUGUCCAUAUCAUUUCUUGAGACCAUAACUAGUGACGCUUGUAUAUCUAUAACAUGGUAUGAUUCCACAACUUGUAUCUACUGAAACGCAAUCAUACAGGUAUACAAACUUUAGAUGCAUGUAUACAUUUGAUGGCCUCACUGUUACUUGUCCACUUUAAGCACUUAGUUUUUGACCACAACUGUUAUGGCAGAACUUUCUUGUGGACAUUAAAGGACCAACCUUGGCAUUUUUGCCUGUACUUGCAUUUGAAGGUGGAACAAGGAGGAACAUACUACAAUUUGAGGUAUGAUUUUUAUUUUAUUAUUUUUUUGGAGUUAAGUGUUGCAUUACAUAUUGAGUUUUGAAUUUUCAUUUCCUAGUAAUGAAAUAUCAACUAAGAAGAAUAACACUAUAUUUUUAAACAUAUACGUGUCUUCGAACUGAAUAAAUUUAAAUGCCAUAAUUAAGUUAAAAAUAGCUUUUAGUUUUGUCAACAUUGGAGGCUGUUUUUCAGACUAUUUAAUGUGUUGUGAAAACAAAUCAAAACUCAGACAAUUAUUUUUGGAAUACAUUAUCUCUCCUAAGUUGUAUGAUUGAAAUUGGAAAGAUGUAAGUGUAUUUUAUAUUCUUUUUGCAGAGGAAAUUCAUAAUGUUACCCUGGUGUAAAUACUGUUUAAUUAAUAUUUAUCCAGCAAAGAUGUAUUAUAAUAUUUCUGAAUUCUUAACCUUUCUUCUUUCUGAAGAAGUUCAUUUUGAACAUUUUGUAACUUUAUGCAAACCUCUUGUACAUUUGUAACAACAGAAGUGUAUUAUCACACUUCUGUGAAGAAACCUCAGGGGAUAGGAUAUUGAAAUUGUCCCUUAUGUUUUUUUCAUGUCAUUUAUUUUGGUGCAAUUUGAAAUGGGACGUCAGGGAACCAAGAAGAUGAAUGUUACAAAAGAUAAAGGCAAGCAGGUUGAGGAACUUCAUGACCAGAAUCCAGUAAAGCCGAUGAGGCCACCAACUGAUUUCAUUGCAUACAGGUAUAUAUGACUUUAUAGAAGCAUUAUUGUAUACAUUUGGGGCUUUGAAUUAGUUAAAAAACGCAUGAUAAAAUCAAAAGUCUAUGUAUAGGAUCUAAUCAUAUUAAAUGUUGGUAGGAUUGACUUCGCACGCAAGCAAAAAGCGAAGGGAAAGGCAUUAACAAUUCAGGAGCUAAACAUAGCCUCUAGAAAUGCAUGGAACAAAUUGCCUGAUGAGGAGAAGCUUGUAUGGAAGAAUGAAAAAGAUAUGAAGAAAUAUAAGGAACUGAUGAAAAGCUACAAGGAGUCUAUAGCUGACAGGGGAGAAAGCAUAAAGAGUGAUGUACCGAAACAAGUAAGGACGUAGUAUACAAUUUUAUUGUUUUUAAAUUAAAUGAUUUAGAAGUUUCAAAGCGCAAGUGCAAGUAUUGGAGUGUUAUUUGGUAAAUUUUAUCAACAUUGUUAUAUUAUUUUUAUAGGCAUACAGGUUUAGGUGCACACCAGCUAAAUUUUUAAGGUUUGUGGGGCGUAUUGAUGGGGAGAAAAUAGCUGCAAUCCAAGAAAUAGGUUUUGGUGGAUUGCUAGAGAUCGAAUGCCACAACCUUCCAAGUAUGAUAUGCAUGUGGUUGGUGAAUAAUUUCAAUCCAACUCACUCAUACAUACAACUUGAAGGUGGACGUGUACUGCCUGUAACGUCAGAAGAUAUAGCAAAGGCUCUUGGAAUUCCAGGUGAGGGGCCAGUGCCGGUUGAAGAUACUGGAAAUGAUGGAAUUGAUAGCGAACCACAUUAUCCUAGGAAGAAGAAGUAUAAUUGGCAUGAUAUAGAAGAUGAGCUAAUAUCCAUGGAGGUCGGGGAUGAAUUCAAGAGAUUAUUUGUUAUUUUUGCAUGUGGGUGCUUGCUUGCUCUAACAACACGAGCUGAAAUUAAAGCCAAUUUAUGGGAGAGUUUACAAUCAACUUCAGAAAUAGCAAAAUUCAAUUGGGCUGAGUUCGUCAGAGCUGAUUUAUGCAAAAAAUUGUUGAAUAUGCAAAGCAAUGCCCACAAAAACGUUGGAGGUUGCAUCCUAUUUUUGCUGGUAAGUUAAGAAAUCUCAACUAGUGGAUGAUCUUAACUUAUAUUUGUUCAUUGUAUCUAACAAGGAUAAGUUGUUAUUUUGUAGCUACAUUAUUAUGAUCGAGUAAGUAUACUCAAUCAUUGUGUUCGUAGGACCUGCCCUAUAGCAAAAGCAUGGACUGAUGCUAAUAUAAUGGAAAGAGAAACACUAGAAUUGGGUGGUCUUGGAAAAUUUGGCAAAGGAAAGCUAGUAAGUAUUACUGAAACAAUGAUAUUUUUGGAAUUUGAGUUAGUAUAUUAUACGGCUAACUGCUUUACGAAACUUACAACAUACUUUUUUGUCCACAAAGGUAGGGUCAAACAAAACGAACAGAGAAGAAAAAGAGGAAGAGGAACCUACUGAGCUGCCACCGGAUGUGAUUAGCCAGAUGGUGAAUAAUGGACAUGGAGAAAUUGCUGUAAGAUAACAAAUUAAAUCUAAUACGAAUGCAAAUAUGUCCAAAGUUGUACGAAUAUGAGGAUUAAUUGCAUUUAUUUUUUUAUAUUCAGGUUCAUCUAGCCAUUCUAUAUACAAAAGCGGCAACUGCUGAGCGGAUAGCAAUCGAAUGUCAACAAAGUGUAAUGAAUAUAUCCAGUAUCCUUUGCUCGCAUCGUAGUGCCAUGCCAUCAUGUUCCCAGACAGCCGUUAGAUCCACAAGAAAAUGGGCAAAAAAGCGAAUGAUCGAUGAUGAGAAGGCAAAGGUUGUUAUAGAUUGUGAUACGGACAAAUUUGAAUAUGAAAACAACCAAGACGAGACGUGUGUUGGGGAUAGGAAUGAGGAUUUUGGUGAAAAUGAGGCAAGUGAACCUGAAGAUAGAGAAGGAAAAGAUGAUGCUAAGGCAAUUGCAGAAGUUCAUUUCUUGGAUGCAGGUCUAACUUCCCCAUCAGGAGCUACAGUAGAGCAACAUUCGCUAUGUGCUGCAACACAAUGGAAGGGUCGGUCUAGAUAUAAAAAAAGAGAGUGCGAAGGCAAGUUAUAUAUGUUGUAGCUAAAAUUCUGCUUUCAUUUGUUAUUGCACUUUGUAAAUGAUAUAAAAAUUGAUCAUUACAAAAACAUUUGCUAUUCUUGACUUAAUAUAGAUGCGGAAGAUGGCCGAAUGCACAAGACAUUGCGGAUGACAAGGCACAACACCCUCAUCAGGUCUACUGAUUAUCAGCUCCAAAUCCAGGCUACUUUGACACAAUGUAGUCGGAAGAUUGCGAAUUUCACAUGGCAAGACGCGGGAGAUGAGAGGUAAAAUCUUUUUUCAUGCGAUAAUAUUCGGAGUAAUAUGCUAUUUUUAUUCAUAUUCAUUUAUAAUUGAACUUAACAUUGUUGACUCAAUGUUCAAUGUAGUGAGAUAUUAGUGUCUAUGUUCGAAUUUAGCCUUAACCAAAGAGAUAUGCAAUCCUUGCGGGAGAAGCAUUGGGUAUCAGAUAGGGUAAGCCACGAAAAAAGAAAAAUUAUUUUAUUUGACUAAGUUAACUGCUGUAGUUGUGGAGAUAGUCUCACCUUUUGGAAUGCUAAGAUAUUUUAUUGUUAUACUCACCCCUCUUUUAGGUCAUUGAUAUGUAUGCAAGAUUAUUGAAUAAUGAUGUGAGUAAAAGACUGAUGAAGGUUAAGCGAUACAUUGUCGAGCCAUGUGUUGUUGUAAGUAUAAUGGCCAACUUUUUUUUACCAGCAACUAACAUCAUGCAUAUACAGUUUCACUUAUUGUUAGUUUAUUAGAAAAUUUGAUUCCAAUGUUUAUUAAAUAGUAUGAAUUGCUCGUGCAAUUUCUAACUAUCGUAUGACUUUCGAUCCAAUUUCAUUGAUUUGUUGGGUAGGCUGCCAUUCAAGGUGUAGACCGAUUUGAGAAAAAGUCUGAUGAUGUCCUAUAUUCGAAACUGAACAAGUGGUUCAAAAUAAGAGCAGAUAAUGCGUCAAGUCUAGCAAAUGCCGAUAUGGUAAUCAGUCUCUUAUAACUGCUGGAUCAAAUACCUUUUAUUUUAUAUCAAAGAUGUUGCAUUUGUAAAGUUUAACACAUUAUAUUUUCAGAUACUAGUUCCAGUGGUGAACAAAAGUCACUGGUUUGUAUACUCAUUUGAUAUUACACAAAGCAUUGUUCAUCUCCUUGACUCACGAGUUGAUUCAUCACGGGUUCGACAGACUAACAUCUUACGACGACUGGUGAAAUCUAAACACUAUUUAUACCUUGAAUUUUUAAUGCAUCUGUUUCAUGGCUUUAUAUUAUAUAACUAGUGAGAAAGUGUAAUUAGGAAAAUUAUAUUUUUAUAUUGCAGAAGCGAACCUUGGGCUUAAUAAUGGCAAAACAAUUUGAUAAGUUGCUGGAUUUCGAGGGAUUUGUAUUGCAAGUCGCAGAUGUGCCUCAACAGUCUCCACACAAUAGGUAUAUGUCCUGUAAAUAAGAGUUUAUUUAUAUUCUAUCUUGAAAUAUAACUAAAUACUAAGUUAUAUUAUUAGGAUGGUAAGGUAAAACUUGUAUGUCCUACAAUUUGGUUGUCACGACAAUGUAUACCUCAUGUUUCAGCUAUGAUUGUGGUGUGUUCAUAAUGAAAUUUCUAGAGCACUGGAAUGGAAGAUUAGGCAUACGCAUUACAGAGGUAUAUAUAUUAUUUUGAUUUAUAGAAAUUUUUUGUAGCAAUUAUUUUUAUGAUGACUAAUGUAUAAUAUGUGGUGCUGAUUAUUUCAAUUCUUGGAUAGGAUAACAUGUGGAAGUAUCGAGUGCAAUAUGUGUCUAUGUUGGUUGCAACCGAGCAUAAUGAAUGGGCCGAAUCCAUCCUUGAGCUGUUAAAUAUCCCUCCCCGACGAAAAAGCUAGUUGUAAUAAAUGAUUGACAAAUAUUUAGUAAUUUACGAGUUGUAUUGCAUAGAAUUUUGUACUUGUCUAGAAUUAUCUCCUUUUGGGAUUACCGUUGGGAGCAAAGUUCAUUAGUUAUGAACUUUUUACUACUAGUGGGACAUAUAGAAUUUUGUGUUGGGAGCAAAGUUCAAUACUGUUGGGACACGCUUCAUUUUUUGUUUGCGGCAGACAGGGUUGGGACACCGCGAUGAAUAUAUAACUUCUUGUAAUCAAUUGAAUAGAAGUAAAAGGUGUAAAACUAUUCUGCAUUGAUUGCAAUUCUCAAACUACUAUCUAAUAUAAAAGUAAAACAAUCAUUUUAAUAUUACAUUAUUCCAAUCUAGUUCCAAAAGGGUCACAAGAUACAUCAGCUUAGCAUACAUAUUCAUGGAAGGCAAUUAGCUUCUACCCAUUUAUAUCGUAGGUAGUUGCACUUCUUCGUCGCUUAAUUGCAUGAGAGUACUGCUCUUUGACCUUUCCACAGAGGCCACAAUGGGGGUCUGGCAAUCAUUGAAACAAGCAAUAAAUUAUUUAAAUCAAAAGUUCAGUGUUCAUAAAAGCAUGCCCUACAAUAAUCUUGUAACAAGGUUAGAAUAGUUCUAAAUAAUAACUGUAAAUAAUGAGCUUUUUAAAGAAUUACUGACCAUUAAGAAUUCGGUGAAACUUGUGUACUUUGUCUUGCUCACAGGAUGUUGGGAAGCAAAAGUGGGAGAUUGUUACGAUCUUGAAUACGGAUAUUAUGAGCACUCAGUAUUUGAGGAGUGAUUCCAGCUUCACCGGGCUACCAUUAAGUAUUGUACUGAAUAAGAUACUGUAAAUUUGUCCAAAAUCUUGAUUAUCCAUACAACUGCAAUAUCUGACUUACCAUCCUACAAGACUGCAUAUCUGAGUGAAUAACUGGGGAAGAUCCAAAAUUUGAUUCACUGAAUGACUGUUAUCACGAGUAGCACAUUACAUUAGUUGCAAAGUCAUGCUAACACUGUGUAUAACACCAAACUAACUAAUUUGUAAAAAUUAAAUACACAUUGUGUCCAAAAUUUAAGAUGUUAGGUCGUACGAAAAUUAUGAUGCAAAUGUGUAUAUAAUAUAUAACAACGUGUUCAACUGAAUUAACAAUAUGUAAACAAAAAUCAACCAAAAGUAAUCUAAACAAAAAUCAAAAUUCAGUACAUACGUGACCAUAAAUGAAUACAUUGUAAAGUUAUACUAUAAACUUAUGGGCUACUAUGGAUAUAACACAUAACCAAUGCAUUAGAUUGAAGUAACUAUGAAAUAGAUUUCAAAUGAUAUGAUUUGUAAUGUACAAGAUAAAAUACACCAUGUACCAGAAUAAUAACACGAUGUCAAAAUUAAAUAACGGGUGAUAAAUAAUUGUAACUUCUACGAUUGAAAAAUUAAAUGUGAGCAAAUAAAUUAAUAAUGUGUAAAAAAUUUUAUCCAAAUGUGUAAUCAUGUGUCCAAAUGGAAUUAUUCAUAUUUCAAGACAAAGUAACCAGUAGUACAUGAUAUCAAUCAAUGCGUACAGCAUAUAUAUCAGUUUGUACAUAUAAAACAACAAUAUGUAAAUGCUAUUAAAUCAAGAGAUCACCGUAUUGUGUACCAACUAAUAUACACCGUGUACCAGAAUAAUAAGACGAUGUCAAAACUUAACAACGGAUCAUAAAUAAUUGUAACUUGUACGAUUGAAAAAAUAAUUAUGAGAAAAUAAAUUAAUAAUGUGUAAAACAUUUUAUCCAAAUGUGUAAUCAUGUGUCCAAAUGAAAUUAUUCAUAUUUCAAAACAAAGUAACCAGUGAUACAUGAUAUCAAUCAAUGCGUACAACAUAUAUAUCAGUUUGUACACAUCAAACAAUAACAUGUAAAUGUUAUUAAAUCAAGAGAUCUCCGUACUGUGUACCAACUAAUAUACACCUGUGUACCAGAAUAAUAAGACGAUGUCAAAACUUAACAACGGAUCAUAAAUAAUUGUAACUUGUACGAUUGAAAAAAUAAUUAUGAGAAAAUAAAUUAAUAACGUGUAAAACAUUUUAUCCAAAUGUGUAAUCAUGUGUCCAAAUGAAAUUAUUCAUAUUUCAAAACAAAGUAACCAGUGAUACAUGAUAUCAAUCAAUGCGUACAACAUAUAUAUCAGUUUGUACACAUCAAACAAUAACAUGUAAAUGUUAUUAAAUCAAGAGAUCUCCGUACUGUGUACCAACUAAUAUACACCUGUGUACCAGAAUAAUAACACGAUGUCAAAACUAAUCAACGGGUGAUAAAUAAUUGUAACUUGUAAUUGAAAAAAUAAAUGUGAGAAAAUAAAUUAAUAACGUAUAAAAAACUUUAUCCAAAUGUGUAAUCAUGUGUUCAAAUAGAAUUAUUCAUAUUUCAAAACAAAGUAACUAGUGGUACAUGGUAUCAAUCAAUGCGUACAACAUAUAUAUCAAUUUGUACACAUCAAACAACAACAUGUAAUUGUUAUUAAAUCAAGAGAUCUCCAUACUGUGUACCAACUAAUAUAUACCCGUGUACCAGAAUAAUAACACGAUGUCAAAACUAAUCAACGGGUGAUAAAUAAUUGUAACUUGUACGAUUGAAAAAAUAAAUGUGAGCAAAUAAAUUAAUAAUCUGUAAAAAAUUUUAUCCAAAUGUGUAAUCAUGUGUCCAAAUGCAAUAACGAUAUUUCAAAAUAAAAUAACCAGUGGUACAUGAUAUCAAUCAAUGCGUACAACAUAUAUAUCAGUUUGUACACAUAAAACAACAACAUGUAAAUGCUAUUAAAUUAAUAGAUCGUCGUAAUGUGUACCAACUAAUAUGUACAAAAUAUGAUAUUACUGUGUCAAAAUAAAUAACAUGUGAUGAACAUCCUAUCACUAAUAUGUAUACCUUAAUAACCAAUGUGUACAAGUAAAAUAUUAAUUUGUAACACCUAAAUAACUAAUAGUGAACUAUAAUGCACAUUAUGUAAAGUAUAAAAAUAACUACUUACUGCCACAGAAUUAUUCGAUGACAAACAUUUGCUUGAUGUUUGGCUUUGGAUAGGUUGAUAGGAUUCUGAUGACUGACAAGAGAAGAAUAUACAACAACUCAGUCGGCUUAUGAUAGUAGAGUCAAUUGAAAUGAUAUAGUUAUGUAAGUCCAAAAAUAAGAUUGGGUACUAACCAUCUCAGGAGUGCUUGCCUCAGACAAUCUAGAGUUUUUCUUUUACCUGUGAAACCUGUCCACCCAACUACGCAAUACUUUCUUAGUUUUUCUGCCUCUUCGUUUCUUCAAACCUGUUGGAGUCACAAAGUGACCAGCUGCAUUCUGCACCUGUAUUCCCUUACAUAGAUCCAUUGAUGCACUAUUCUGUGUUAUUUCAUCUAUUUCUCCACAAAAUAGCAUUUCGACUCUCUUUGACAAUUCAGACAUUGCGCUACUGACUAACUUUGUAGCGGCUUCUGACAUGGCAGCCCUGGUAGCAAGUCUUACCAUUUCGGGUGCUAAUAGCCUAUAUCGAUGGGAAAUAGAGAGAGACGGAUCUGAUGAUAUUUCUCUACCCUUGCAAUCGACGCUGCCUCCGGACCUUGCCUUCUUUGUCCACCUCUUUGUCACAUAUUGAUCAGGAAUAAACUUUGUUCCAACCAUAUCAUACACUUUUAAAGCAUGUGAGCAUAGGAUUCCUUCCUGCUCAAAAAGAUUACAACUACAAGUAAUGUCUUUAGUUAUUGGAUUCAAUAUCAGUCUUCUUGCCCUUCCUCCAUCAUAGUGACUGACACUGUAUUCCACAUGCAUUGUAGUAUGCUUUUGGUCCAAGAUCACCAUUGUAGUGCAUUCAUCGUAUUCAUUCUGGAAUGCAACAAACAUACAUGGAGAGUAUAUACAAGCUGCCUGGAUCAGUACGGGAGUCUGUUGCAAUCCCAACAUUGGCAGCUUCUGUCGACUGUGAUACUCAGCUCUUAGUUCAUUAUAUCUUUUUUCAUCCACAACUCGGUCAAAAUGUUUGAAAAAUUCAACCAGAUCAUGAUCAAGUUUUAGAUAAUUUUUUAUGGAAGCAUUUAGACUCUCACUUAGUUGGGUGCUACGCAUACCUGCAGUCCAGGCGCCUUUCAUGAAGCAUUUUGCCCAUUUCUUUCGACAUGCAUAAAUGCCACACAACCAUUCAUUUGUUUCGAGCUUGUGUUCUUUUAGCAUUGCAUCCCAGGCCAUGAUAAACUCAUUUUCAUCUUCUAUCUCAUACAUACAUUCACCAAAUCUAUAUGGGAGAUUACUACCAUCCUUGUAAUAGUUCCCAAGGUGUUUCAUGAAGUUGACUCUAAUAUGAAAAGUGCACAGACCAUGGUAUGUUGAAGGCAUAACAGCUGAAAUUGCAGCGGCCAUGGCUGCAUCCUGAUCUGUGAAGAUGGUUUUUGGGUGCCUUCCACAAACUGCCUCUACAAAUGUACCGAACACCCACUUGAAUGAUUCAAUGGUCUCAUCAUACAAUAGAGUUGCUCCAAAAAUAACCAAUUGUCUAAAUUGAUUGAAUCCCACAAAUACGCCCAAUGGUCUGUACUCCUUGUUAGUUUUAUAUGUGGUGUCAAAUGUAAUCACAUCUCCAAAAUAGGUAUAAUCCAUCAGCAUUGAUGCAUCAGCCCAAAAUAUAUUUGUAAUUUGUUCUUCACAAUCAAGCUGCUCUGCGUGGAAGAAUGACGGAUUUUCCAAUUUUUGUUCUUCAAAGUAUUGUAGCAUUGCACCAGCUUCACCAUACUUUAAUCCUCUCUCUCUUUUUGUUCGUAGAUAGCGUUUUAAGUCAUCACGAGUGUAGCCAAUAUUGCCUAAUCCACCUGCCUCUUUUCCCAUGAGUUCAUGGGAUUGUUUCAAGGAUAUUCCUGCAUCAUUUGCAAUCUCAGCUUGGGCUCCUUGAGAAAUACUUACUUUUCUUUGCGAACGCAUCAUAUGAGCACAUUCUGAAAUGUGUAGUAUGUGAUUAUGCUCGAUUACCAGAUCUCGAACCUGAUACUUCAUUGUUUCUCUGUUCAAAAUUAUCCCCAUUUUAGCUUCACAUCCGGUUUUUGUUUCAGCCCGAGUUCUCUUUGGUUUUACAUCUCCUUCGUACCGUGGUUUGAAACCUUCUUUGCAACAUGUGUACCUUCUCGAUGUAACUACACCGUCUUUAUCCUUGUUCAAGUAGUCUUUCCGAACACUAAACCCAACAACUAAUCCGUACCUAUUGUAGAAGUUGUAUGCCUCAUCUUCUGACUGAAACUCCAUGCCGAUCUUAGGACACAAUGCUUCUUCCAUUGUCCUGUAUUCGACAAAAGCAUUUUUUGCUAUUGUUUUUCAAGACAAACAAUUAUAUUUAUUUUGUAUUUCUUUAUUCACAUCAUAAGCACUUAAUUAUUUGUAUUCACAUAUGUACAUACUUUAUAACGACGUGUACACACCUUACAACAUUUUGUAAAAUAAUUUUUAUGGAUGUGUAUCUUCUUUGUAAUAGGUAAUCACAUAACUCUAAUAAUUUGCAUAGCAUAUUUCACUACAAAAUAUAUACAUUUCAAACAAAUAUUAUAACCAAUUUGUGCAUAAUAUCAGAAUUUUCAUACUUUAAAAUCAUAUGUUCACACUUUAUAACAAUGUGUACACCCUUUAUAUCAACUUGUAACAUAACAAAUGCAUGUAUGCCUCGUACACUUUUACAUAGCGUAAGGUUUGACAGAAUUCUCAAAAUCUAUACAUUGUCAUCUAUACCGUUUGUGUAGUUAUUUAAGUUGGUCACAUUGUUAAAUUAUUUUUACGCUUAUGUUAUUUUAUUUGUACACAUUCUCAUUUAUAUUUUGAAAUUCUGUACGGGAUCUUUAUUGUACAAGUUAACCAUUCUCUCUAAAAGGAUAAUGACAUACUUCUUAUAAUUUUUAAAUCAUGCUUCACUAAAUAACACAUUUAUUACAAUCAAAUUACAUAUAAUAUCAGCGUUUACCUUGGACAGAGUUCACCAAGCAGUAAAUUUCAGAUGGGCCGCUCACAAGUCUCAGCUAUGCAUUUGUUACUCGAUGAAUAUCUAUCUCAGUCAUCCACUACUUAAAUCGGCGUGUAUUGUUGCUGCAGCGGAUCUUCACAAUUAUCUUGUACACACCUCAGAAAAGAUGCCCGUUUUGAUAAGGUUUAUUUAAGAGUUGGAAGAGAAGAAGACAAAAAUUUAUGUCUAUGUUAUGCAAAAUAAUUUGUUGAGAGGAGAAGAACAGAAGGAGUUUGUUGAAAGAGGAAAAGCAAAAGGAGCUACAGCAACAAAGUAUUCAGAGAAAAUCCAUUACCGCCAUUUUCUUCCCACAUCUUUUAAGUUGAAAGAGUUUUAAAUCCCGUGCGGUCGUACCAAAAGUUGAUUUUCAAAUUUUGAUUUUGAAUUUUUCAUACCCUUAACUGCCAGACCAAACGGAGUUAAAAGUUAAGCUUGUAUUAAAGCAACAAUCCUCUACACUCAUCUCCAUUUUGUUCGCUUUCAUUUUGGCCGUUGAUGAUGGGCCCACCACAUCUUGGCCAUGAAAAGUUUAUAAGCGGUUGUCUGGCAACCGCUCCAGCCCCUUGUCCGUAUCGUUCCAGGUGCAUAGGAUAAGAAACCUUAAUCAAUAGAAGAAUUACGGAGUCAAUGCCAUGUCCACUUCGCCAUGUCCACUUCGCCAUGUCCACUUCUAUCAACAGUUUGUCAAAUUAGUUUCAUUAACUCUAACAUUUAUCAAAUAAAUAUCAAUCUUAUGUGGCAACAUAGAAAAAUCAAAAGGAAAACUAUGUGUUGAUAUGGUAUUAAAUUCAAAUUUUGGGUUUUUCUAUUAUGUCCUCAAAAGUAUAGCACAGAAUAAGCAUAUAAAAUAGAAAGGGUGGACUCGCUAUAAAUUUCAAUUAUUAUUAUUUAUAUUUUGAAUUAUAAAAUCUUGUGCAAAUAAUUGGAAAGUAGAUUCAUCUCUUAUCGUGUGUCCUAAAUGGAACAAUUCUAAAAGUUUUAAACCUUGUUACUUGACUAUAUCUCAAUCAUCAAUGAUGUUGCAAAGAUUUGCUAAUUAGAUUUGCAAAGAUUUGCUAAUUGGAUCUAUUCGAUAGAUCUCACUAUAUUAUCCUGUUCUUUAAUAUCUGUGUAUGUUUGAUGAUGUAAUUUCUAUCAUUAAUAUAAAUUUUAAUGAAAUUAUGAUAUUUUAUAUAAAAAAAUGGAGGUAAUUAUACAGGGGUUUACCAAGUCAACAUAAUUUGUGGGCCCAAGGGAUUUGACAAGGUUUAAUUUAUAUUAUAUAGUAUAGGUAUUUUAUAGGUAUUUUAAUAGGUAGGGUUUGAUUUGGAUCCCUUUGAUCUACAUUCAAACUUAUUAAAUUUAGUUAGACCUAAACCUAUACCCAACCCCUUAUGGGUCUCAAAAAGUAAACUCAAACUCGAACCCUCAUAGGUUUAGGUAUUCAACGGGUAUUUGUGAAUACUUUUUUGAACAUACAGUGAAGAACCAAAGUAAAAAUAUUUUGAAAAUAUAUAGAGUUAAAAAAUAACAUAAAUAUCAUCCAAUUUUUAUUUUCAAAUAAUAAAAUCAACAUUCAUGAUGUUGAACACAAUAUUAUGAACUGAAAGAAAGAAUUAUUAUCAACUAAAACUAUUUGUUUUCAAAUUUUCAUCUGUGUCUAUAUUCAAUCUUUUAUUUAUUUGCUUUCAUUUUUUCUCUUUUUCUUGAAAAUGUUUGUAUCAAUUAUAAUGACAUAGAAUAUUAGGUUAUUUUCCAAAUUUACUUAUACAUACACACACAUAGAAUAUUACAUGGGUAUUGGUAGGGUCUAAUUUGGAUUUGAAUUUGGAUCUAAAUCAUAGAAAACCAUACUCCACCCAAAUUCAUGAUUCUCUUACAGGAUCUAGAUUUGGUUAGGGUCUAGGUUUAAUAAAUUAAACCUAAACCCUACUCAGAUAUACUGGAUAUGGAUUUGAUUUAGAUAAAAUCUGAUCCAUUGACAUACCUAAUUCGGUACCAUAGGCUACCCUUAAAAUAGUACGUUUAGGUGAAAUAUGGAUGAAAUUAAUUGGAAUAGCACCUUUUUAAUUAGAUAAGACAUCUUUGUCAGCCUAUAAUCUAGUUCCGUAUACAACUUCUUUUAUAAUCCAAAGCUAGAACGUUGCAUUCGAUUAAUAAUAAACAAUAAUGUUGAUUAAUGAAACAUACGGUGGCAUAAAUAAUUGAAGAGUGCACCUAUCUUUUAUUAUGUUCCGUGAAUAGAAGAAUCCGAAAAGUUUUAAACCUCUUGUUACUUGACUUUCAUCUCAACCAUCAAUGAUGUUUUCAAAAUUUGCUAAUUGGACAAUAACAUGCCAAGAAUCACGCCGUUGCAUGACCCAUCUUCGAGUUCAUUGAUCGAGACACGACUUUUUGUCCUAGAAUUUUCAUCUUCCUGGUUUCAUCACUCAAAGCUGGAAAUGGCAUGAGAACUAAGAGGUCACCUCCUUUCCAUAACGACUUAAACCAUAGGGCAGAUAGAUGCCAACUUUAUUCACUUUCCCUCUAAAUUGGCCCAUCCAUUGGCAUGAGAAUUAAGAGGUGGGGAGGGGUCAUGAUAGGAAUGGAUGCCCGUCCUUUGGGGAGAGAAAUGGAGUGAAGAGAGCUGCGGGGGCAGGAGUGGGGUGGUGGGUAGGGGUGCAAACGAAUCGAGCCGCUCGCGACUCGAGCUCGAUCAAUAUCGAGCUCAAGCUGGUCGAGUCAAAGUCGAGCUCAAAAUAUUGAGCCCGACUCGCGAGUUCAAGUAUAUAUAUAUUUUUUUUAUUUAAUAGUAAAAUUACAUAAAUAUCCUUCAUAUUUUAUUAUUUAUUAGGAAAAAAUAUUAUUUUAUUUAUUUUUUCGAGCUCGAGCUUCAAAAUUGUCAGCUCGUCGAGUUCGAGUUCGACAAAAUUAAGUCAAGACUCGGUUUGAUUGGGCCAAAAUGCGACUCGGCUCGGCUCGGCUGCAGCCCUAGUGGUGGGGAUUUUCCCCCCCCCCCCACCAUGUGGCUACCAUCCCCGCACCAUCCUUGCCUAUAAAUUAAAUAAAUUAAUUAAUAUGCAGCUAUAUUUGCCAAUAUCUAUGUACAUAUUAUAUUAUUUAUAAUUUUGUAACAAUAAUAGUAACAGCUGUUAGUUUAGAUUUGCUAACAAAUACGGAGAAAUGUUUUUAAAAGAUUAAAGUAGAUUUUAAACAUAAUGUCAUGUUGAAUAUUAUUUAAAAGUCCAAAAGAUUGAUUUAUAAAGUUAUUUGUUAAUAUUAUAUAUGAAAAAAUAAGAUUAAAAAAAAAUUUAUUUUGAACCACCCAUCAGGGCACCCCGGUUGGGUAGAUGGAUGGGCGCGGGGGUAAGAGAAGUGGGGGGAUAGCACUAAAGCCAGGAGAAGUUUUUAAAGCACAAGGAGGGAGAGGGGUGAGGGUUUCCUAGCCUCAUAUCCACCUCAUUGUCAUUCCUCUAGUCACCGACUCUCUAAAGCCUAGAAAUUUUAGUUUUCCCUCAUUAAAGGUUUGAAAGCAUAAAUGUUAACUUUUGCCUCCACAAAAAUUUAUAAAAUUUAAUAUUAAAAAUAUAUAUAUAUAUAUAUAUAGUUUUUUUUAAAUCAAAGUAAUUGUUAUGCUUCCGUCUACGUAGCAAGGUCAGUAUAAUUUCAAUACAUAUUUGAGGAUAAUCUAAAAUUUGGAUAACAUCAUGAAGUGCAGGUGAUGAACCAUUUUCGAAGACAGUAGCUGAUAGACCCUUAAUCAUAAGUCAAUUUUAAAAUUUCGAAGCGAUAAGACUUGUUUUUUUUUUAAUAUGACCAAGGAGGAGGUAAUUAUCAAUGGGUCUACCAAAUCAACGUAAUUUGCAGGCCCAAGAGAUUUGAGAAGGUUUAAUUUGUACUACAUGGUUCCAUGGGUUGCCUUUGAAACACUGCAUUUAGGAGGAAUAUGGAUGAAAUUAAUUAUAAUAGCAGCUCUUUAGGUGCGCCAUCAUUGUCAAGCCUAGAACUAGUUCCGUAUACAACUUCUUAUAUUAUCCAAACCUAGCACUGAAUCAAAGUGGGACCACUGAAUUCAACAUUAACCAAACAAUAAAUCGUGCAAUUCAUGAAUUGCCUACUGUCAUGAAAACUGGAUAAUAACAUAUGCAAGCAAUCAUGAUGCCGUAAAUCCAAAAGCCGAGCCACAAAGCAAUAAAUCAUGAACGAAAAAGUCAACAAUCAUGGUUUCAACAAAUAUCUCGUUUGCCGAUUCUUCACAAAUAUCAUACAUAAUUAUUCUUAAAGAUAAAAAUUACUGAAUCCAAAUUAUUUCCUAAUAAUCAAUCAUAUGGGCUCUGAUACCACUUGUUAGAGUGGUUGUUUAUUUUAGGUGAAAACUAUCACCUAUUAAAAUCAAAAUUUAUAUAGCUAUUAUUAAGAAAUAAAUUAACAGAAAAAUUGCAGAAGCGUACCUUGAUUCAUGUUGACAAAUUAACACUUGAAUCCUUGAAGAUUUUGGAGUGAUCUUCUAGAUCAACACGUAUUUGCUAAUUCUCGAGAGAACCCUUGAAGAUUAUGUGCCUAGAAGUAUUUUGAUUUUUUUUCCAAGACAAUAAAUGAACUGAUUUUAUAUUUAAAACCUUCAGCAACUUUUUCACUAUCAACCACAAGACUUGACCAUAAUUUUUUCUAAAUCGACACGCAUAAGAUUAACUUAAAGUAAUGACUAGGAAUUAAUGAAAAUAAAUAUCGAAAACUGUGGAUGUACCAUCACCUAUAGGUUCGAUGAUAUACAACCACCUAACAAAACAAAAGGUAAAAUAAUCAAAGCCCCUAACUUUUAGUGUAAUUCGCACUUUUUCCUUAACGUUAUCUUAAUUUUUUGCACUUUGCCACUUCUGGUAAUGGAAUUACUAAUUUUACCAGUACUUCCAUCUUUCUACACGUUUAGCAUUUCAAAGGGGUUAGAAUAGUUGGCUUGCGGUUCUAAUACUUUCAAUUAUUGUCGAGGCCUCAACCAAUAAGGUACUAUCUGUUCAUGCCUCUGAUGUAUACGAGUCAUUUCAAAAGCAAAACAACUCCUAGAAUAAAGCCAACCUAUGGGUAAUAAUGUUAAAACCAAUCCAUUUAUAGUUGAAGUGCAAAAUUCCAAACGACAUAUUAAUUGCAUGUAUAUACGCAGUCUGGGAAAAGUCUCAAACUGGGUGAAGAUUCUCCACAAUUGAUAGAGCAAUUGCAAUUGAUGGUUUAAAUAGUUUUAGUAUGAACGUUCACUAGAUGAGAUUGAUUAUGAGACACAAUUUUUAAUAAGUGAUAAAACUUGCUGUAUUCUUAGUUACGUUGUUAAUAUUUGUAUUUCAUCAAUUUUUGGAGAUGGACUAAUCCAAUUUUGAUACAAAUUGAUAAAGAAAUACAUCACUCCAGAGACGUUCCAUGAAGACUUUAAGUCGUCGCCAUGUUAUCAACAAUUUUGUAGAAACAUUUAUAACCGUAGCUGGUGCUUUCUCUGAGAUUACUUUUUCAGAUGACCAAUUCCAAAGAAAUUCCAUUUAGUUGUACUAAACAAGCUUAUUAUUCAAGUGUCACUGAUAUUCAAAGUGAACGAUAAGCUCUUUUCCAGUUGAAACUCGAUAAACAAAAUCAAAUCGUCAGCCAUGGUGGAUUGUGUUGCGCAUGAUUCAUGAAAGGAGGUAGCGAUAACAAAAACACUAGCCUUGUCAUAAAACAAAUCAGAAAAUUUGUGUGUAUUUAUAUAUGAAUUAAUCUUUUUUAUACAUAUAUAUGUAUGUAUAUAUGUAUGUAUGUAUGUAUGUGUGUGUGUGUGUGUGUAUGUGGAUUGUGUUUUGCAUAAUUCAUGAAAGGAGUUAGCCAUGACAAAAAUACUGACCUUGUCAUAAAACAAAUCAGAAAAUUUACUUUAUAUAUAUAUAUAUAUAUAUUUAUUUAUUUAUUUAUGUGGAGACGUACAUUUUUCAACCUAAACCUCUCAAUGAGCCUUCAGCUCCCCAUUUGUUUUUCUCAGAUUUUAAUUUAUUUCAUUGAUCAAAAUAUCAUUAAUGCUUUUUGUUUGGGUUAAAUCUAAAAAUAUUGUUUUAUUAGUUAAGUUUAGUUUCUAAAAGUAGAAUAUUCCAAAUGUGACAUAUCAAAAAUAGGAAAGAGUGCCAAUAAUUGUGAAAUCUAAAUUUCAUUUUUUAAUUAAUCUUACCAAAGUAGCAUAUGAUCAGGUUUGAGGUUGGCAAAUUUACCAAAAUUAGAAUAUACAAUUAAACGUUAUGAACAUAAUAUUAAUGAAAAUUUCCAAAAUUCCUUUAGUCUUUUAUUAACCUUAACAAAAGUAAGUAGGUUUGUCCAAGAACUAUAACAUGUCACUAAGGAAACAUCUUUCGAAUAUCUAAGUAUAUAAAGUGUGAUUUGAAUCUGUGGUGCUAAAAUUUUGUGUCAUCUUUUACAUUAUCUCUAAAAAUUUCAAAAUGUAAAACCAAAUUUUAGUAAAAUAACUUUUACGCAUAUGACACAUAUAAAGUGUGCCUUGAUCACGAAUUGAUAUCAAUUGCAACUUGGAGCUACGUGUGUGUGUGUGUGUAUAUAUAUAUAUAUAGGUAGAGAUUUACACAAACCACAAACGUGGAAUCUGGUAUGAUAAAUUUGGGAAGCUCUCUAAAAGUACCCUAUGUUCAGGAGUUGGCUAAGGAGAAAUUUGCAUCAGUUCCACCCCGAUACAUACGACCUGAUCCAACCAAACUUCAUGGGGUCUCCACAGAGGAAAUCCCAGUAAUUGACAUGCAAAGGUUGCUUUCUGAUGAAUCAGUGAAUCCAGAUCUUGAAAAGUUGCAUUUUGCCUGCAAAGAAUGGGGCUUCUUUUAGGUUUGUCAUUUCGUAUUUGUAUAUGCAUAUAUUAGGUACUGUUGUAUGACUUUUCAGGACUGUAGGUAAAUGAUAUAUCUUGCCACAAGUUUUUUUUUUUUCAUAUUGAAAUGUUUCUUUUCAUAUGAACUCAUUUGGUUUUCUCUAGUAGUAGUACAUAAUGCAUGACUAGAAUGUAAUAGGAGUGAUCUCCUUUUCUUUCCUGCUUUUCCUAGGAUCUUCUUUGAAUUGUUAUACAAGGACAAUCAUCUAAUUUAAAUGGAUAUACAUGCCUGCUGUUAAAAUGGAGAAGUGUUAUAAUAGUCAGCAACAAAUAAUUAGUGACUGUACAAUUUGUCACCAGCUGAUUAAUCAUGGAGUGAGCUCUUCAUUAGUGGACAAACUGAAACUAGAGAUGCAAAAGUUUUUCAAUUUGACGAUUGAAGAGAAGAAGAGAUUUGCCCAAGAACCGGGCGAUGUAGAAGGAUAUGGACAGGCCUUUGUUGUAUCUGAGGAACAAAAACUUGACUGGGCUGACAUGUUUUACAUGGUCACUCUGCCAACUCACUUGAGAAAACCUCAUUUACAUCCCAACCUUCCUCUUCCAUUCAGGUACAAGAAAAUUUGCCCACACAUUCAUAUCAUUGUAUUUAGGAUGCAUUUGAUAAAAUUGAAGUUUAAAAACUGAAAUCUGAAAUUUGAAUCCAUUAAAUUAUUGAAUUAUUAAGUAUUAAAUCAAAUACAUUUGAGUGUAUAUCACAUUCGGUGAUAAGUGAAAAGUUUAUCACUUAUUUUUUAUAGCAAGUUUUGCCUAAAAAAUUUAAUGACACUUAAUUAAUUUAGAUGUUCAAUUUUUGGUUAACAAAUGUAUCUGAUUAUAUUAAGAUCUAAAUACAUUAAGUUUAAAUGAUGAAUUGUGUUGUCAAACACAUGAGGACUAUAGUAACAUCACACAUAGUAUAACUUUUGAAAGUCAUAAGCGUCUAAAAUACUCUACACUUGUCUAAACUUUUCAAAAUUUUGUGGGUGAAAAUACUUAAAAGCUAGGGAUAAGAUGAUCACAGACUAGUAAUAGGUUAAGAAAACAAGUGGUUAGUAGCAGUCUGUAACUUUGCAAAUCACCGUACCUGUAAUCUUUCUAUUUUCUUUUACAUAAAUUGUCAACAUCUUGAUAUAUAUAAAGAAACUGAAAGUCUAGAAUUGAAAUUGUAAAGAGAUAUAAUGAUGAUUUUUAUGAUUUGUAAACUGGAUUUACAAUAAGAGACAUUAUUUAGGUGUGGCGGUUUGAUUCUUUCAUGUAUUUUAAUUGAUGGAAAUAUGAACAUUUUGGUCCUUUAUUAUGGCAGUGGUGGUUAAUUUGGUUCUUUAUAUACUACCGCUUGCUAAUUUAUUCCUUAUCUCCUCUGCUCCUUUAUUUCUACAGUGGCAAUGUCGAUUAUCUUUGUAAUACCAACAUUGCAUGGAAGUUUAUGAAUUAAGGGUUGUAAUUAGAGAUUUGGGAAAAUUAGAAGAGGGGAAAUCGAUAGAUUACAAAUACUGCAUUGAUUUUAUUUUAUGGAAAUCAGGGAUUAAUUAGUAGACGGAAGUACGCAAUAAAUCUUCAUCACUGAAAUAAUGGUUAUGCAGCAUCUUAAUCACUGUUUGUGAAUUUUGUUUUGUCAAAAAAAUAAUAAUAAUAUAUGUCUCAUUCAGUUGUUGAGGGGUAAAAAAUAAUCACAAUUUGUUUAUAAAAAGUAUUCCAUUGAUGACUAAAAUGCUUUAUUCAGAAAAAAAAAUUUGAUAAUGCUGGUAGGUAGCCCGCCAGAACUAAACAUAUAAUUGGUUAACAGAAAAAAGCUUUUACAUAUAAUUGAAACCGAGGAGGCAAUAAUAAAGCCAAAUGCUGUUACAUGAAAAGUUGUAGCAGAGAAUAUCCGACUGUACGUAAUAUAUAUAUUUUUUAUUAUGUAGAUGCAUUUAUUUGGAAGUCGUACUGUCUUAGGGGCCAACGUACAACAUGAAACAUCGAAUGUUAUCCCUUCAAUAAAAUUCCAUGUGUAAUGAUCAAGACAGCUUAUCAGCCACUCCUUCAAAGAAAGGAAAAAAAAAAAAAAACAGACAGCUUGUCAGCCACAAAGUGUCCUAAGGAUUGAAUAUUUUGAUCAUUAUCUCUCUUAAAGUCUCCACAUGAUAGGCCUUUUCUUCUUAUUUUUUUUACCUUGGACUCAUUCUUAAUGGUUUUUCAACAUUUCUCUUCUUUUAAUCAUAUGGCUAUUGGCCACCCAAUGACUUAAAGUCUUGGUGGAGUGGGAGGUUAAAGGUUCAAAUCUUAUCCCCCAUCACUUUGCUACUAUAUGUGAUUUUCUCAAAUCCAUCUGAGUGCGUACGUUUGAUUCAAUGGUGAUUCAAUUCCCGUCGAUUUUUCAAUGGAUUCAGUUGAGCCUUCCCCUAAAAUAGAUUAGAGUAGAAAUAGUUUGAUUCGAUAGUGAUUCAAUCCCCGUUGGUUCCCCAAUAGAUUCAGUUGGGUCUCCCCCUAGAAUAGGUUAGAGUAUGAAUAGAGUAGAUCAUGACGAUUGAUACAAAAUAAAUUAUAUCAUCUCUCUCUCUCUCUCUCUCUCUCUCUCAUACAGAAAAAUAUAUCCUCUCUUGCUUUUCUUAAAGGGACAAUUUCAGAAACCUCUCCUCAGGUUUCUGAUAAUUUCAUUGAGCUCCUUCGAGGUUAUAAAAAUAACAUUUACCUCCUUUGCCCACAUAAAAUGAUAAUAUUGUUUUAACAUUUUAAUAAAACUCUCUUGUUAGAUAUACUUUUACAAAGAAUGGUAUUAAUAAUUAUUUUUCUUUUCUUUUUCUAUUCUUAUUCCCCCUUUUUAUAUUUUUGCCAAUAAAACCAUAAAAUAUAAACAUUGGCAGCAUAAAUGUUUUACUAGUGACAUUUUUUAUGACUUUGAAUGUGAUCUAAUUUUUACUUACUGAUUGUUUUUGGUACCAAAAGCAACAUUAACUCAAAAAAAAAGCCCAAAAUUGCUACCAAGCUAUGAUAGUUCCACCGAUCCAAAAUUCUGCAAACUUUAAAAGAAUUAUGACGGUAUUUUCUUUUUCAAAUUAAAAAAUACAUACCCUGGUAAAUCACCAUUAAAAGUAGUUUAUCAUAGUGAUAGAACUAUUGAGCAAUUGCCUUUUGGGUAAACCAGUGGAAUUACCUUAGAUUCUGGGUGUGUGUGUUUAUUAUUUACCGGUGAAAAGGAUAGUGAUAGAACUAUUGUCAUCUUUGCUUAUCAAAUAAUAAAUAUGGUGUUAAAAACUUCACACUCUUUUUGUAUAUUUGUGUUAAAUAUAUUAUGAUUGUUCUGGAAAGUAAUUCAAAUGUUUUAAGUUGAGGGUAUUUUAGGAUAUUCAUUAAAAAUUUUGACCAAGUCUAAGGUUUGGUUACCAAAAGUGUCAAAUUAGGGGAGGUAGGUGUAAUUUUUGAAACCUUAAGGAAGCCCAAUGAAAUUGUUAAAAAACUUAUGGAAGGUUUAUGAAAUUAUCCCUUUCUUAAAUCUUACCUUCUUAAUUGUCUUUAUGAGGAAAAUUAAUAAGCCAUGUCACCGUGAGAUGAUGAUAAAACAUCCAUCCUGGCAUGCAUAAAAAAUUAGUUAACAUCUAAAGCAUUGUGCAUUGUUAUUAUAUAUUGGAUAUUCUUUACUUUUUAUUUACAUUUUUUUUAACAUUGUAGAGAAACUCUAGACAAGUACUCAAGGGAAUUGAAAAUCCUUGCCAUCAAGGCCCUUGAGCAAAUGACAAAAGCAUUAGGAAUGGAGCUUGAAGAUAUGACAAUGCUUUUUCAAGAAGGGCUGCAAUCAAUGAGGAUGAACAAUUAUCCACCGUGUCCCCAACCUGAGCUAGUGAUGAGCUUUUGCCCCCACUCUGAUGCUGGUGGGCUUACCAUAGUGCUUCAGCUCAAUGAAGUGGAAGGCCUCCAAAUCAAAAAGGCUGGAGCUUGGGUUCCUGUUGUACCACUUCCUAAUGCAUUCAUAGUCAAUGUUGGAGACAUUUUAGAGGUAAUCAUGCUCAAAAUCCUUUCUCCCAAGAUGCAAUGUGAAUAUGAACAAUCUCUUCAAAUUGCUUUUCUGUUUAUAUAAUUACAACAUCUAUCUAGUUUUUGGCCUCCCUUAUGAGAUAUUUUCAAAUUAGUUUCUACAAUUAUGAACAUAUAUGGAAAUUAGAAUGUCCUUCCCAUAUUUUAAUAGGAUUCAAGAGAUAACCUUUCCGAUUAUGAUUAGUAUGCACUAGGUUGAUGUGUAAGACUAAUUAUCAACUUGCACCGCCCAGCAAAUGAGGCAAGGUCAAAGCGUAGCUUUCAUCCCAAAAUUUAACUUUUGCAAAUUUGUGGCUAAACUUCUAACUUUGGCUACUUUGUCAGAGUUAAACGAAUGUUGUUUAUUGGUAGAAUAUUGACUACUUUAAUAGAACGCGUAUCUUUAUAAAGUCAAAAAAAGCAUAAAAUAUAUGGAUGAAAAGGUCUUAUAUUGAAAAAACUUGGGCAUAAUAACUUCAAAAUUAGUAUUGUACAUGCCCUUAUACCCCACCCUCCAUAUUAUUGCUUACCUGUGAUGUACGAGUGGUAAAAUUCAAACUACUUUCCUUUCAUCGUUUUAAAAAAAGUACUUGCUCUUUUCCCCAACAAAUUUGUUUUGAUUUUCAGAAAGGAAUUUACUUUUUGUCUUGAUUUCAAUGCUAAUUACACGAGUUACUUACAAAUCAUGUCCUGGAUCUAUCAGGGUAUUGCUUCUGAAUUCUAUCUCCAAUGUUUUUGGGCCAUAACAGUAGUUAUAGGUGGACUCACAAGAUUACCCUGUUAACCAUAUCCUAUUGUUGAGCCUAAUUGAACUUUUAUGAGAAUGUAUGCUACAUAGUACACAGUUGGGAAAAAUGUGACGUUUUUUAACUGAGAUGCAGAUUGUGACAAAUGGGAUUUACAAGAGUGUUGAGCAUCGGGCAACUGUGAAUUUGCACAACGAAAGGCUUUCCAUUGCAACGUUCUUUUCCCCAAAACUGGAUGGUGACAUGGGUACAGCGCCAAGUCUUAUCACCCCUGAAAAUCCAGCAAUUUUCAGAAGAAUUAGUAUGAUUGAGUAUUUAAAAGCGUUUCUUCCCCGUGAACUAGAUGGGAAAUCAUUCAUUGACACAAUGAGGACCCAAAUCGAAGACUUUUAGGCUCUUAGUCCCUCUAUGAUUUUUCUCUUUGAAACUUAUGAACACUGUUGAUAUGGUGUCCCCUCUUCAUCGCCUCCCCCAACUUUCAUUCACCACAAUAUGUAUAAUUGUUUAAGAAUUAAUCCUGUAUACACUGUAUAUGCUAUUAGAUUCAAAUGCAUGACAACUAAUAUUAAUUCAAAUUUAAAAUUCAAAAUUUGAAACAAAUAGUAUGCAUUUAGAUUUAAUACUGUAUACAUUAUUAAUGUAUAGAAAAUUAAUCUAUUUUUAAAUAUGAAAGAGAAUGAUGAGUGAUUGUAUGUGCUAUCAACGACGUAUUAGAAGUCACUCUUUAUGCCAGAUCUUGAUAAGGGGAACCCAAAAAAAAACUCUUUGCUAUUUUACCUUUUCCUCUAGUACUUAUUUUAGGCACAAUUAUAAAUCUUUGAAUAUAUUGCUAUUCCAUAAGUACUCUUUCUAUUAAAUUCAAAUUUUGGGUUUUUCUAUUAUGUCCUUAAAAGUAUAGCACAGAAUAAGCAUAUAAAAUAGAAAGGAUGGACUCACUAUAAAUUUCAAUUAUUAUUAUUUAUUUUUUGAAUUAUAAAAUCGUCUUCAAAUAAGUGGAAAAUAGAUCCAUUUUCUAUCGUGCGUCCUGAAUAGAACAAUUCUUAAAGUUUUAAACCUUGUUACUUGAUUACAUCUCAACCAUCAAUGAUUUGCAAAGAUUUGCUGAUUAGACAAUUAUAUACCAACUAUUGUGAGGAGACCGUUCAGAAGCGAUCGGUCUGAUGACCGCUCUUGCCCCUACGCAUGAUCCAUCAUCGAGGUGAUUGAUAGAGGCACGACAAUUCAUCCUUGAGACUUCAUCUUCAUGGUUUCAUUAUUCAAAGCUAGAAAUGAAACCAUUCAAUGCUAUAGGUCACCUAACCAUAGGGCAGCAUAGAUGCCAACUUUAUUCACUUUCAUUCUAAAUUGGCCCUUCUAAUGGCACGGGAAUUAAGAGAUGGAGAGGGGUCACAAUCGGUAAGUAUGCCCGCCCCGUAGGCAUAGAAAUGGGGCGGGGAGAAAUGCGGAGUGGGAGUAGCGGUUGCGGGAAUUUGUCUCAGUACUAUCCCCACCUAUAAAUUAAAUAAAUUAAUUAAUACGUAACUAUAUUUGUCAAUAUCUAUGUACAUAUUAUAUAUAGUAAGGGUGGUGGGGAUUUGUAUCGGUACUAUCCCCACCUCUAUAUAUAUAUAGACACACACACAUACACAUACAGACAUAUACAUUAUAAUUUGAAAACUCAUGAUAUCAUUAUUUGUGUGGUAAAAUGAUGAUUUUGUUAUUUUUAGUUUACUGAAAUUUUUUUUUUUUGGUGUAUUGCAUGUUUGCAAUAAGAUAAUAAUAGUAGCAGAUAUUACUUUAGUUAUGCUAAUAAAUACGGAGAAAUAUUUUUAAAAAAUUAAAGUAUAUUUUAAACUUAAUUUCAUGUUGAAUUUUAGUUAAAAGUUCAAAAGAUUGAUUUAUACAAUUAUUUGUUGAUAUUAUAUAUGAAAAAUAGAAGUUUAUUUUGAACCACCCAUUAGGGCACCCAUAUUGGGUAGUGGGGUGGGGGCAGGGGGGAUAGCUUAGGGCAAGAGGAAGUUUUUAAAGCGCGGGAGGGGAGACGGGAGAGGGUUCUCUAAUUCCAAAUCCAUGUCGUUGUCAUUCCUAGUCACCAACUGUUUAAAAUCUAGAAAUUUUAGUUUUCCCUCACAUAAGGUUUGAAGUAAAUGUUAACUUCUACCUCCAAAAAAAAUUCUAUAAAAUAUUAUUAUAAAAUUAAAUGUUAUUUGUAUAAACUGUUUUUCGAUCAAAGUAAUUGUUAUGCUUCCUUCUACAUAGGUAACAUAGCAAGACCAGUAUAAUUUCAAUAAAACAUUUAAGGAUAAUCUAAAAUUUGGAUAAACAUCAUGAAGUGAAGGUGAUGAACCAUUUUCAAGGACAAUAGCUAAUAGACUAUUAAAAGUCAAUUUUGAAGUUUGGAACGACAAAAAUUGCUUUCUUCAUGUGCCCAAGAUAAGUUUUUUUAGAUUUUGAUUAUCAGAUUUGGAAUUUUUUGGAUAUAUUCGAUAGAGAUCACCAUAUUAUCCUGUUUUUUGAUAUCUGUGUAUGUUUAAUGAUGUAAUUUCUAUCAUUAAUGUAAAUUUUAAUAAAACUAUGAUAUUUUAUAUAUAAAAAAUGGAGGUAAUUAUCCAGGGGUUUACCAAGUCAACAUAAUUUGUGGGCCCAAGGGAAUUGACAAGGUUUAAUUUAUAUUGUAUAGUAUAGGUAUUUUAUAGGUAUUUUAAUGGAUAGGGUUUGAUUUAGAUCUCUUUGAUCUACAUUCAUACUUAUUAAAUUUAGUUAGACGCAAAACCAUAUCCAACCCUUUAUGGGUUUGAAAAAGUAAACUCAAAUUCGAACCCUCAUAGGUUUAGGUAUUCAACGGGUAUUCGUGAAUACUUUUUUGAACAUACAAUGAAGAACCAAGGUAAAUAUAUUUUGAAAAUAUAUAGAGUUAAAAAAUAACAUAAAUAUCAUCCAAUUUUUAUUUUCAAAUAAUAAAAUCAACAUUCAUGAUGUUGAAUACAAUAUUAUGAACUCAAAGAAAGAAUUAUUAUCAACUAAAACUAUUUGUUUUCAAAGUUUCAUCUGUGUCUAUAUUCAAUCUUUUAUUUAUUUGCUUUCAUUUUUCUUUUUUCUUGAAAAUGUUUGUACUAAUUAUAAUGACAUAGAAUAUUAGGUUAUUUUCCGAAUUUACUGAUACAUACACACACAUAGAAUAUUACAUGGGUAUUGGUAGGGUCUAAUUUGGAUUUGAAUUUGGAUCUAAAUCAUAGAAAACCAUACUCCACCCAAAUUCAUGAUUCUCUUACGGGAUCUAGAUUUGGUCAGGGUCUGGGUUAAUAAAUUAAACCUAAACCCUACUCAUAUAUACUAGGUGUGAGGACCCGAAAAUUUUCUUAUUUUUAUAGAAUAUUACUGGAAUAUUUAAAAGAUUAUUCACUCAUUUUCUUCGAAUUAUUUAUUUCGACCAUUUUAAAUUUAUUUAUAUGGAAUGACGCCUCUUUAUAAUUUUAAAACAUUUUGUUGGAAAAUUCACUUUUCAGAAAUUCGUUUAGUUCGAAAUAACAAGUACACGUUUUCGAGGCUAUACUUGAAUCAGGAGUGUAUUAAUAUUGGAGAAUUAAAAAUGAUCAAUAAUAGAUUAAGAAAGGUUAAUUGAGGAAUUAAUACUAGACUCCUGUGAGAACUCGCGAAAUUCAUUAUUUUAAAUUCCUAUUUUCGAGCUCAUUUGUAUAUUUAAUUGCCCAUUUAUUCCGAAUAAUAUUUUCUAGCCUUAUUAGACCUAAGUACAUGGUUUUAUAGUUUCGUUAUAUUUUUAAAGCGCCUCAUUUCAAAAAUUAUUUUCUUAAAAGCUUGAUUAGCGAAAAAAUGAAAACGUGUCUAAACACUUUAGCCAAUUGGGAGUACAAUAAGCUCAAAAAUUUGAGACAUAUACAAUGGUCCUAAAAUAGGCAAUUUUAGGUUUAAGUACUCAAGUGAUAGUUAGUGGUACGAUCGUUACAAAAAUUUCUCAAAGGUUUCAUUUUAUUGCGCCUAAAUUAGAAAUACGUGUUUUCACGUGCGCGCUUAAUUGAGGGACUUUGGACCAUUAUUUUGGGACAAUUAAGAAUGAAUAAUAUUUAUAUGAAUGUAAGUGCCCUAGAGGUUUAGUGCACUAGUGCAACAAAUUUAAGAGAAAUCGAACACAAAACACGCGCGUAGGGCACUAGUUGCAAUUAAAUUUUACGUACUUAAAAUAUUAGACGGUCAGCGUUCUUUGUACGCAAAAGGAGUCAGACUAACAUUUCACUUUUGCAAGCUUCAUGGACGGCUAGCCACUACAAAAACAACCGAAAACUUCUCAAACAUUUCCUCUACAAACUUCACCUCAAAAAUCUUGCCAAACCUUCAUAGAUUCACCACACAAGCUCAAGACAACUUGGACAAUCACUUGGACAAAGAAAGAGCUGCACAUUCACGGAUCUUCUUGGAGUUUUAGGGGCACCAAAAUCUGACUUUUUAGCACACAAGUAAGGUAACCAUGAUCCACUCUUCAGAUCUUGUUCAAUAAAGGCCAACUUACACUUAAGAGCUUGAUUAUGCUUAUGGGUAACUUAUUAUCGUUGGAAAUUGUUAAAUGUGGGCUCUAUGAACUCCCACUUUGGGUUGAUGGCUGUGAUGAUGUUUGAUGAUGGUUUUAUUGCUGAAAUACUGCUUAAGGAAGUAGAUUAAAGGUGCAUUAUUUCCAGAAACGUUAUUGAGUUCUUGAAGCAAAAAGUUCCGAUUUUACCCCUGCUCUGUUCGGUCACUUUACUGCAGAUAAUUGAGGAUUUAAAGGCUUGAUUAUGUUGUUUACAUGUUUUAGAAGUUGUGUACAAAAUUUCGUUGAAAAAUAUUGAGUUUUGGUUGCUCAAACGAAAUUAUUUCGAAAACUGGUAAUCUGGAAAACGGUUUCGCCGUAAUCCAGACCAGUGGUUGUAUUUUGUCCAUAACUCCGUGCUCCGACGUCAAAAUCAAGUACCGUCAGCGGCAUUUGAAACUAGACGUUCCCAUGUUUCCAACGGUGUAUAAUGAACAUUCUGGUUCUAUGUGUGUGAGCCACACCAUUCAUCUGAAGUCGGCUGUCCUGUUUCUCCGUUCUGCCGAAAUGAUUUGAUGAUGCUGCAACUUGAGGCUUGAUUUUGAACCAGUUGCAUGCUGAAACCUGGAACGAUUUCUUCUGUGAAGUUGUAGCCCUGUGAAUUUAUUUUCUAACACUCUCAACCAUUUCCAAUUCCGAGUUAAAUUGAGGGAGUUAUGAUCAAUACACGGCAACUGCCUCGUUUUUGAAAACCUUAGCUUUGGACAGAUUGCUUUAAGGAUUUUUCCAAACUUUGGUUGAUUGAAUGAUCACCCUUCCGAGGGUAUUUUUCCAUGAAAUUUGAUAGAGAGAUAACCUUCAUAUGGAAGUAUUAUACUGCAAAAUUUGGUGUCAAUCCAAGUCCGUUUCGGCACUUAACUAAAGGUCCAAAGUUGGAACCAAAUCUGGAAAUUUUGUAACAAUCCUGAAUUUUCUCCAACUUCGAGCUGCCGUAUCUCGGUACUCGAAACUCCGAUUCUUGAGCCGCUUGUUCCAUCCAAAACUUUACUUGCAGAUCUAAUUGAGCUAUAAGUUUCAAGGGCCGGUUUCCAACGAGUGAUUUUUGCCGAAUUUCCAAAGUUAGCGAAAAACCAACCCGGCUCAAUCCUAGCAAUCUAGAACAGCAGCUUUAGACUCAUUUUUGAAUGCCUUCCACUUAGAUUCAUGGAACAGUGUCUUCUAAGAACUUUUAGUACUUUCAAAGACGAUUCCAACGGUACCAAAUUCAUCAAGUUUCGAUUAGUAGAAAAGAAGUUAUGAUUUUUCAAAGAUUUGACCAAAAAUCGAAAAUUCUGAAAUUUCAAAGGAAAUCCGCAAAGGAACAAUUUUCUAGAAUCCGGCCUUGAAUCCGGCUAGAAACUGGCCAGAUUGUCGGCCGGAUUGGUGGCAAAAAUUGAAAAAAAGGAGGUUAGCCACUGCCUCCAAUCCGGCCAGAAAUCCGGCCGGAUUGUGACGUGGCCAACCUUCCUUCGAUUUCGAUCGUUCGUUUUGUAAUCUUUUCGCUCGUACUUGUUUCCAACCAAUGAUUUUAAGGAUAAUAAUCCAAUUUUUGUACUUAAGUUUUACACCCUUUUGAGAAUUCAACUUCAAAGGCACGUCAAACGAAGUUUUCAAUUAUUUUCGAACCUUACUCGUGUUCAAUCUUUCUCACCACUUGGGGACCUACAGUAAUUAUCUAAAAUACGAUGUUCAGGCACGCACGAGGACCUCCAAGAGGACCCUACUGUAGAAGUUUGAACUCUCCCUCCAACUUACUUGCUCGCAUAACUAGUGAGUGUCAAGUGUAUGCCUACUUGAACUCUAAAGUCUUGAUUCAUGCUUGAUUCACCUGAUUUCAUGCUUAGCUUAACUGAUUUUGACAAAAUGGAGUCGAGUGUGUACUUGAUCGCACUCGUUCUCAUUUGAAACGAAUGACUCAUGCUUAACAUGAUUUGCUUGGUUUACAUGACUUGAAAUGUCUGCUUAAACCUAUCAAAUGCUUGAAUACAUGAAAUGGUAUGCUAUGAUUGCAUACGUCGAUGGAGUGAAUCUCCUCGACAUUUACAUGACAAAUGGGGGACGCCCAAACUCAUAGGCCGACCUUGGAACUCGAGCCGGCAUGGGCUUGGUCGGGAACCUCGGUGAGCCAUGAGAUUCAAAUGAUAAGCUUGAUCUAUUGAGAGAUCUCGCUUGGCAUACUCGUAUAGUAUCGCCUUAUAAAUGUAGUGCGGGCCCGAAGUGGUGUAUGGUGGACGGAUGGGAAGUAAGUGGUGAACUACGGAUAUGAAAAUAUCAAUCCGGUUGACGGAGAGUCAUCACGGAAAGAUAUAUAAAUGGUAUCGGCAAAUGUGGAACUUAGCUCCUGAGAGCUUCUAUAUCCUUGAAUUGUUUCUGGUUACAGUUUAUUGGUGUUAUUAAUUACUUGCAAGCUAAUACCUGAAUUGUUAUUUGGGCUUGUUAUCUGAACUAUGUGUUUGCAUGUGUGUUCUUGGCCUCACGAGCGUUUUGCUCACCCUGUAGAUUUGUUUUCCUUAACAGGUUUGAACUCGGAAGUAAAAUAGAGAAGCCCUCCUGAUGUAUUUUUGUUUUAGGGUUUGCUAUUACUUUUGGUUAUGCCUUUGAUUUUGGGAUUGUACUUUUGGUAUGGAAAUGUAACCUUUGGACGAAAUGUAUUUUGUAUACCGACGUGUGGUUUGGAGAAUGGAUGACUAUUAUUAAGUUUGAACGUUUCCGCAUUUUAUUGUAUCUAAGUUAUUGGCUUGUAUUGUGUGAUCCGGCUAUAAGUUGAAUGGAAUUGCUUGAGUCCUGGCGAGAGUUAGGCAGGCGUCCCGCGGAUACCCUUUGGUUCGCCUUAGGGAGAAGUGGGGGCGUUACACUAGGUUUGGAUUUGAUUUGGAUAAAAUCCGACCCAUUGACAUACCUAGUUCGGUACCAUUGGCUACCCUUAAAAUAGUGCGUUUAGGUGAAAUAUGGAUGAAAUUAAUUGGAAUAGCACCUUUUUAAUUAGAUAAGACAUCAUUGUCAGCCUAUAAUCUAGUUCCGUAUACAACUUCUUUUCUAAUCCAAAUUUAGAACGUUGCAUUCGAUUAAUAAUAAACAAUAAUGUUGAUUAAUGAAACAUACGGUGGCAUAAAUAAUUGAAGAGUGCACCUAUCUUUUAUUAUGUUCUGUGAAUAGAAGAAUCCGAAAAGUUUUAAACCUCUUGUUACUUGACUUUCAUCUCAACCAUCAAUGAUGUUUUCAAAAUUUGCUAAUUGGACAAUGACAUACCAAGAAUCACGCCGUUGCAUGAUCCAUCUUCGAGUUCAUUGAUUGAGACACGACAAUUUGUCUAGAAUUUUCAUCUUCCUGGUUUCAUCACUCAAAGCUGGAAAUGGCAUGAGAAUUAAGAGGUCACCUCCUUUCCAUAACGACUUAAACCAUAGGGCAGAUAGAUGCCAACUUUAUUCACUUUCCCUCUAAAUUGGCCCAUCCAAUGGCAUGAGAAUUAAGAGGUGGGAAGGGUAGGAAUGGAUGCCCGUCCUUUGGGGAGAGAAAUGGAGUGAAGAGAGCUGUGGGGGCAGGAGUGGGGUGGUGGGGAUUUUUCUCCCCCCACCGUGUGGCUACCAUCCCCGCGCCAUCCUUGCCUAUAAAUUAAAUAAAUUAAUUAAUAUGCAGCUAUAUUUGCCAAUAUCUAUGUACAUAUUAUAUUAUUUAUAAUUUUGUAACAACAAUAGUAACAGUUGUUAGUUUAGAUUUGCUAACAAAUACAGAGAAAUGUUUUUAAAAUAUUAAAGUAGAUUUUAAACAUAAUGUAAUGUUGAAUAUUAGUUAAAAGUCCAAAAGAUUGAUUUAUAAAGUUAAUUGUUAAUAUUAUAUGUGAAAACAUAAGAUCAAAAUAAAAAAUAAAAUUUUAUUUUGAACCACCCAUCAGGGCACCCUCGUUGGAUAGACGGAUGGGGGUGGGGGUAAGAGAAGUGGGGGGAUAGCACUAAAGCCAGGAGAAGUUUUUAAAGCACAAGGAGGGAGACGGGGGAGGGCUUCCUAGCCUCAUAUCCUCCUCAUUGCCAUUCCUCUAGUUACCGACUCUCUAAAGCUUAGAAAUUUUAGUUUUUCCUCAUUAAAGUUUUGAAAGCAUAAAUGUUAACUUUUGCCUUCAAAAAAAUUUAUAAAAUUUAAUGAUAAAAAGUUGUAUAUAUAUACAGUUUUUUUUUUAAUCAAAGUAAUUGUUAUGCUUCCGUCUACGUAGCAAGGCCAGUAUAAUUUCAAUAAAUAUUUAAGGAUAAUCUAAAAUUUGGAUAACAUCAUGAAGUGCAAGUGAUGAACCAUUUUCGAAGACAGUAGCUGAUAGACCCUUAAUCAUAAGUCAAUUUUAAAAUUUCGAAGCGAUAAAACUUGCUUUUUUUUUUUUAAUGUGACUAAGGAGGAGGUAAUUAUCAAUGGGUCUACCAAAUCAACGUAAUUUGUAGGCCUAAGAGAUAUGACAAGGUUUAAUUUGUACUAUAUGGUUCCAUGGGUUACCUUUGAGACACUGCAUUUAGGUGGAAUAUGGAUGAGAUUAAUUAUAAUAGCAGCUCUUUAGGUGAGACAUCAUUGUCAAGCCUAGAACUAGUUCCGUAUAGAACUUCUUAUAUUAUCCAAGCCUAGCACCUUGCAUUUCAACUAAUAAUAAACAAUGUUGGAUUAAUGAAACAUCUGGUGCAAAAAAAAAUAUAUAUAUAUAUAUAUUCUGAACCAGGGAUUCAGUGGAAUUAGAACUUUGAAGUUGAAAAUAACCACAAUCAUGGAUCCCAAGACAAGAAAGCUUGGGGGAUCUCUGAAAGUUCCUUUUGUCCAAGAGUUGGCUAAGGAAAAUCCCUCUUCUGUUCCAACUCGUUACAUACGCCCCGACAAAGACCAAUAUCCAACCAUCUCUAACGGUGGUUCUUUCCACCAAAUACCAGUUGUGGAUAUGCAAAGCUUGUUUAGUUCUGCUGAGGAGGCAAGUGAUUUGGAGCUUCAGAAGCUGCAUUCUGCAUUCUGCAUUCAGAAGCUGCAUUCCACCAAAUACAACUUUUUUUUUUUUUGUUCCGAAAAAAAAAAGAAACCAUCUUCAAAUGAAAUCAAAGUCCUAUGAAAAUUGAAUCCGUUGAUGACUUAAUCAUCUUUUACCUGAAUUUUACGAGUGCAAAUCGGUUGAAAGUAUACGUAUGCUUAUGUGCUGUUCCAUCCAGACGCUAUUACUUAUGAGAAAAACUGUCAGUAGCUGAUUAAUCAUGAAGUUAGCUCUUCAUUGGUGGAGAAAUUGAAAUCAGAAGUUCAAGAUUUUUUCAAUCUGCCGAUGGCUGAAAAGAACAAAUAUGGUCAAGAACCAGGAGAUGUAGAAGGAUAUGGGCAGGCCUUUGUCAAAUCAGAGGAGCAAAAGCUUGACUGGGCUGACAUGUUAUACAUGAUCACUCAACCAGAAGAUUUAAGAAAACCUCAUUUAUUCCCUAAGCUGCCUCUUCCUCUAAGGUAUAUUUGACCAACCAUGCACAACACACACAAAACGGGGAAUUUAAAUCAAGUGUUCUAUCUUUAGUCUUGUAAUUCUUUAACUAUGCAAUUUUAGGAUAAAAACUGUUUUUGACAUGAACUAACAUACGUAGUAUGCUAAAAUUUUAGGCAAACUGUACUACUAGUUACUGAACUUUCUUGAAUGGGAAAAAAAAAAAUUGGAUGGCCGAAAAGAGACAUUCAUGAAAAUUUAAUGGCCACUGAUGCACUUUGCCAGAUGGUUUUGAUUAAAGCAAUUCAAUGAUACCAUUUAAUUUGACGUUUUCACGUCUAUCUAAAUUUGAACGCUAAUGCAUCAGAUAGGUGAGAUUUUUUAGUAGGUAAAGUUGAUUUUCUGUAAAAUUAUCUACUGAGAAAGAUAGAAUAAAAGAAUAUGUUGAUGUGAUAAUUUUUAAAGCUAACAUUUCAGAUUUAUGUUUAGGGAAGUAUAAAGAUCCAGAAAUGGCUGAAUACAUGAUGACGAAAGGUCAAGCAAAAAAAUAAGCUGAAAUGCCAAUGAGGAAUUAAUUGCCCUGCCACCCUCCAUCCACUAUCUUCCAAACCAAAUAAAAAGAGAAAAAUAUAUUUAGAACAACAAUAUGAAUAAUUCAAAACAUUAACCUAUUGUGCAUAUGCUAGUAAGUCCACUAAGGCUUAAGAAGCUUUCUUUUUCACUUUUUGUGAUAUUGAGAAAAAUAAUGACCUGCCAAGAAUUUCCGUUUGUGUUUUGAUCAAAGAUGAUUUUUUUUAAUAAAAUAUCAUGUUUUCAUUAAAAUUUACACUAAUGGCAGAAAUUAUAUCAUCAAAUAUAUAUAGAUAUCAAAUAAUAGAUCUGAAGAAAGGAUACUACACAUAUGAAGAACAAUAAAAAUUACAUUAUAAAGCUCCAAAUUUAAAAAAUAAGAUAAAAUAAUUGUAGCUCCACGGAUAUUUAUGCAUGCUUGUAAUCGUCAAAUCUACUAAUUAACGACUUCAAGUCCAUCUAUUAUAGUGAGAUCUACUGAAUAGAUCUAAGAAAUUCCAGAUCAAAUAACCAGAACCUGAAAAACUCAAAUGUAAUAAAAGAAAAUUGAAAAAAUUAUCAAAAACUCUCACUAGGAAUCCUUAGGAGAGAAUAAAACUCCACUAAAAAAUUUAGGAGAGAAGAAAACUCUCACUAGACAACUCUAAGAGAGAAGAAACUUUCAUUAGAAAAUCUUAAGAAAUAUUUUAUUCACAUAAAUGAAAAGAAACUAUAGAGAGAGCUCCUCGCAUGGAGAAAGAUUAGAAAAAUCUGAUCUCUCUCUCAUGAAAGAGUUGAAGGAGAGUUUUAGUUAGAGAGUUUUUUCUAAAGAGAAGAAAGAUAGAACGAGGAUGGCCUAAGAUAUUUUAGGUCAAAAUGUUACUAAUAUUAUAAAAGAUGAAGUUGAACAAUAAAAAAUCACCAAUUCACUGUGACAAAUGGUUACAAUGAGCUCAAAUUUAUUGAAAUAUCUUGAUUCACUAUGCAAUUUGAAAAUAAACAAAUCAGUUAUGAUUUUAAGUUCAUUAUAAUAUACAUCUAAAUUUAUACUUAGACUUAGGUAUGCUAAGUUCUCCUAAUAGUUUAUUUGCAUGUUAAUCAAUCCAAUAACACUGCAAAACAUGAAACUAACAGUGAAGUUUGUGCGCAAAAUUUACUUUUCUUUUCUUUUGUUAUGAUACUAAACCGAUAUUUAUGCUAGUUACCUUUGUAUUCCUUCAAAUGUUCUUGGUUCUGCUACAUAGGGAAAGUCUUCAAGAGUACUCUAUAGAGCUCAAAAGUCUUGCCUUGAAGAUUCUCAACCUAAUAGCAAAAGCAUUAGGAAUGAAGCAUGAAGAAAUUGAAGUGCUUUUAGAAGAAGGGUUGCAAUCCAUGAGGCUCACUUACCAUCCUCCAUGUCCUCAACCUGAGCUGGUCACAGGCCUCUGCCAUCACUCUGAUCCUGUUAGCCUCACCAUUUUACUUCAAAUCAACGAUGUACAAUGUCUCCAAAUCAAGGAAAAUGAAGCUUGGGUUCCUGUUCUUCCACUUCCUAAUGCUUUUAUAGUCAACGUUGGUGAUAUCCUAGAGGUAAGGAUUCGCAUAAAUAUAAGGCUUUAUUGUGAAUUGCCCCAUUAACAAGUACAUGCUUUUCAAUUUGCUCCAUCGUUGUUUGUUCUAAGGGUCAGUCACACUCUGCUCUGCUAAGCUUUCGGGGUAGGCACACUUUUGACUUUACUAUUACGAGCCUUAAAAUUGUAUACUUGGCCCCUUGAAAACUAGUCAAAGAUAUAAAUAUUAACGUCAUAAGAAAAAAAGUGAGUGUAAGGAUGUUAAUGCCCUUUCAUUUCUGAAAUGAUUAAUAAUUUAUCAUUAUUGCCAUUUUGUUGCUAAAAAAUUUAUAUCUUCUCUAUAGUAUCUAAUAUACAAAAAAUCAAAUUAAUAAAACCAAAAAAAAAGCUUUUUCAAUUUAAUAUCCUUAAAGUCUUUUCAAAUUCAUGUUGAAUUAAUGUUCUUUUAUCUUAUCCAUUGUUUUCAAUUUAUUGAACUUUAAAUCUAAUAGUAAUAAUAAAUAAUGUAGUAAUAAAAAAAUAAUAUGGUAAUAACAAUAAAUACAGUUGGCAAAAUUUUGAAAUCAUGCUAUAAUAUUAAGCUUGUUACUACUUAACAGCGUAAUAUUUUAUUCUUUUAGUUUAUGUAAAUUGUUAGAAGAAUAUUUUUGUUAUAUUUUGUUUGUCAGAUUAGUCAACUAUGAAUUACUUAACUAAAUUUUUAAUAAGGACUAAUAUAUAUUACAUCUAGACUUAGAGGAGAAUAAAUAGAGAUUAAAUAAAAAAAAUCACUUUCUUCACCAGUAAAAGGGCAUUAAUAGUAAACUAUAUAUAAUGUCAUCAAAAUGGUGAAUAAACGUUGUUUUGAUUGGAUCUGUCCUCUCCCUAGACUUCCAAUAUUUACAUUUUUUUUCCAACAUUAAUGUGCCACAACACUCCUAUAAAAGCCCAAAUUGUCAUGUGGAAUGCACUUACUCUCCGACUACAAUUAGCUUACAUACCAAAUUUUUAGUAACUUAGUCAUGAGAACCUUUUGCUAAGCUGUGACUGAUAAAGCUAUCAGAACUUCCAGUGUCCACCAAUACGUUCACUACUACACUUCUCAUAACUUGUUGUAGAGUAAUGGUCUUUCUUUUGAGCCCAGAAGACAAAGUAUGAAAUGACAUGUCUACCACAACCCCAAGAUUACUAGUAACCUCUUCUUGCUUCCCUUGGACAUCUGCAAAUUCAAUUUCCUCGUCUUCGUCUUCUGCCAUCAGAUGCAGCUGCUUCAUUUUACUUUGAUGUCCUGCUCCAAAUUUGUUGGCACACGUGAAACAAAGACUGGCAUUGGAUGGUGAAAUUUUCUAUAUGAUGUUAGGACUAGAAUCCUGAUUAGCAGAAGCUCCUUUUUCAACUCGAUAACGAGGGAGCCUAUAGCUAUUAGUUCCAAUACCAUGGCCAAUUUUGAUUUUAUAUAAUUCAAAUCUGGAGUCCACAUUCUGCCUACCCCCUUGUCUAAUCUGUCUACGUCAAAUGCUACUAUUAAAAUCUCAGGUUUGAACAUCUUGACUGUGCCUAAUUUCUUCUCUAAGCCCGCUAAUGAAACUGGAGACAAAAUAUCGUUCACUAAGUCUUAUUACUCCCGAGGAGCAUCAAAGUUUUCAACUGUUCAAACUUCUCUUGGUAUUCUUCUAAAUUACCAAUCUAUUGCGACUUAUUGAAUUUUUCCAAAUUUCCUCUGUCAACAAAUGUGUGCACGAUAGUUCUUUAAUUCCUUCCAAGACAAACUAGCUAGGUUUUUCAAUCUUGACCCCCAGAAACUAGUUAUCUGUUAUUCCCUCAUAAUACAUUCCAAUCACAUUCAUUCUAUUUUCAUCAAAAAAAUUUGUAAAACAAGAAUAAUUUAUGGCAUUUUCUGACUCAUUCCCUAAGAUUAUCCCCAAAGAACAUAGGUAAUUCAACCUUAAGAGUAACUGGGAAAAGGAAUCCUACUCCAGUUCUCCUUAGUAGUCGCUCCAGGCUCAUUGGUGGACAGCAACUUCUGUUGCUUCUAGGAGGUGGGAAUCCCACAAUUUUCUUCUUCGCAGAUCACUUUCUGAUUGUCUUUACAAGACAUCACCAUCAUAGAGGAGCUGAAUUUCUGAUGCACAUUAUGAAUCAUGGACUCCAUCUUCUUGCCAUUACUUUCCCACUCAUCUUUAAAAUGUUGCUGGAAAUUAUUCAUGGAGUCUAACUGCUACUAAAAAUUUCCUAUGGAAGCCAGAGCCUUGUUCAACCUUGCUUCUGUUUCUUGACCUGCUCCUUCAAAGACUUAAAACAAGUAGUUUCAGCCAUGAUCAGGGGGUAUUCAAGCAGCCAGAGUCAACCGCUUCAUACCAACAACUAUCAGGGACUCAAACAUUGGAGUCCAAAUGAAGUAUUGAUUUGGGAGAAAAAUGAACUAGAGAAGGAAAGAAUUAGUUCAAGAAUGAGGAAUGAUCAGAACGAGAGAAGAAGAAAGAAAUGCAGAGGGAAAGAUUGACUAUAAGAAAGGAAUGACUACCAAACUCCUUUCCUAACUAGUUUCACUAACCGAAGGAAAUUAAACCAAGCUAUCUUAGUAUUUAGUUUCCUAAUUCUUCUGAUUUCUAGUUUUGGUGUCUUGUUUAUUUAGUUUUCAUAUUAGUUUAGGAAUUAGUUUCCUUCAUUUCUUUCUUGAGCCCAUUCCGUUUGUUUGUUUAUUAAUAUUUCGCUGCCAUGCUAUUUCUUCGAGUGUGUGAUUUGUUUUGAUUAUUUAUCCUAUGGGCUAUUUUCCUACAAAGUAUUAGAGGUCUAGACUUUGAUUCUAGGGCUUGUUCAUGAAAUUGAAGCAUGGAUCAAUGUUAUUGAUCACGUUGUGAUGUUUUUUUUUUGAUGGUAAAAAUGAUUUUGAGAUUUGGAGUUGGAUGAUGAAAAAAAAAUUCAAGCUAUUGGAAUUUGGGAUUUUUUCUAAAAGGGGUUCACAAAACCUAUAGAAGGUACGAAUUAUUAAGCAGUUUAAGAGUUAGAGAAGAAUAAAUAGUUAGAUUGCAAGGCAUUCCAAUAUCUCAAUACCCAAGUCCAAUUGCAUGUAGCCAAAAAAUUUAUAGAUGUAAAUACAGCAACGGAGGUUUGGAAAAUUUUGAUGAAUUUCUAUGGUCAUGGUGGAGAAGAAUUUUGUGAUGAGGUAGGAGAAAUUUUUUUUUUUUUGAUGAGCCAAAGAAAGAAGAAAUUGCAGAAAUUAUGGGCACACGUGAAGAUGAAAAAUUUGUGGCCGAAAAAGAAAUUUCACAUGUGGUUGAGAAAGAAAGUGAAGUCAUUGGUGAUAUGGAAAAUGUAACUAAAGAUUGUGAUAAGAGAGAAAUUUUUUGAUUUCAUUGUGGUUGAUGAAUUUUUUGAAGCGAAGGAUGCGAUUGUUAAAAUUGAUGCAAUUUUUAGUGUGAAAAAAUUAAAGGAAAAAUAUGGUGAUGUUAAAAACAUUGGAGGUGGCAAUUAACUAUGAUUUUCUAGUGUUGGGAAAUUUUCUUGGUGACGUGGAGUAAUGAAUGGAGUUUGGAUGAACAUGUUUAACUUUUUUGACAUAAGUGAUCAAGGUAAGAAAUUGUUCAAAAAGUAUAAGUUUCGACCACUGUUACGUGUAAAGAUGAAACUAAAAAUCAAUCAUGAGUUGGAGUUAAAUGUUGUGUCUACUGCAACUGAGUUUUUCAUAGAGAUUCAAGUUCGAAAUGACAUUGGCGGUGAGCACAAUAACGAGCAUGGUUUAAGGAAGGCAAUAAAGGAAAUUAAACCCAACUAUCUUAGUAUUUAGUUUUCUAAUUCUUCUAGUUUCUUGUUUCGGUGUCUUGUUCGUUUAGUUCCCUUAUUGGUUUAGGAGAUUUCAAAUCAGUUCCAAAUAAGUUUCGGU
rnacentral:lncRNA from 1 species